rnacentral:lncRNA from 1 species
CCGAGGAGGAGGUGGAAGUUGAGGAAGAAGCCGGAGAUCUCCAGCGGUGUUUUCUCAUUCAUUCUGCCCAGCUUUAAGUUCAUUUUCCCGGCAGUGAACCGAAGGAAACACCGGUCGUUUGGAAGAGACCCAUAGCGGAUACAGCGGUAGCUGGGUCUCGCUCUGGCUGUGACUGAGUACGAGAACGAGAGUGGGCGCGGCUCACCGAGGACGCGCUCGUGAAUUAUAAUGAGCAACGUCGGCGCAACGUAACACCGACCUGCUUUUUCUAUUGGCCUGGUUUACUCGUUCCUUUAUUUUAAACCUUUACAGAAUGCAAACGACGUAACGGUUUGUUUUCACAUGUACAACAUAAGACGAACAUAAUAUGGACCUUAACUGACACAAAAAACCCCAAAAAUUACAUUUUUAUGGCAGGUCCCCUUUAAAAAAAGAACAAACUAUCCAUUUGAGAGGGAUCUCUAAAUCUAAGCAGUAUCACCUCUGUAGGAGAACUUGAAAGAUAUUUUUAACAAAACUUGACUUAUUUGAUUUAUUCUACUUGCUACCUUCCCUUCCCUUGAAUUUCCCUUCGGAAAGUAAAGUUGUUGUUGUUCUUCUUGUUCUUCUUCUGCUUCUUCCCUUAAUUUUCAAACUGCAUGGAAAGCUAAGGCUGAGUUGUGUUUUUAUACAAAAUCACAUACAGAAAUAGUUUUGUCAACUCGCCUUGGCCUAUGCAUCAUUUAUCUCUAGCAGAUCAUCUUUUUGGAAGAUUAAUAUGUGCAUCCAGUCCGUCUUCUCUUUUAGCUAGUCCCAGUUCUUCUGUGUCAUCAGUAAAGACUUUAGAGCAACCUCCUCCUUCCUUUUUUUUUGGCCUAUUUUCCCUCCUAAACUAUUCAGACCUUUCUCCCAUUUUAUUUCCUGAUGUCUUUCCUUAUCAAAAAUCUCCCCAAGAUGCUUCAGAUAUCUUCCUUCCAUGCACAUUAGAUUUAUUUUCAAGGAAAGCAAAUUUGUGUCUUGCUUCCUCUCUUUUCACCUUAAGGAGUCUGUCAUGUCAGGAUAGUCCAGACAUACAGCUCUGUCCCCAGGGUGCAGUGUCAAGAGUGGAAACCCAGGGCCUGGACUUAAACUGCAUACUCAUUUUAUGGUAGCUGUAAGAAGAAAGAAAAAAACACAGCCAGGAUUACCAGUAAUUUGAGAAGUUUUGCUUUUGGACUGCAUUGUGCUUUACUAUCUUUAAUGCUUCAUAAACAUUCAGUGCAUUUACACAGUUGAGUCAAGGUACAGUCAUAGCUCAGUCAGGCAAUUUAACUGGACUACUGUCUUUAUUCCAGUUUACAUGCACUGGGCAAGGAUCAAAUUACUGAUAGAAGCAUGUCUACCUCUUCUACAGUAGGUGGUGAUGAGCUCAUCACUAUCGGGUGAUCUUCAGGUAUUUUGUAUCAAAACAGAUGGCAACAUGCUAGCAAGAGGCUAACAGGGCAUUACUUUCACCACUCAUUGCACACAUUUUUCAACCCUUAACACAGUGUAUCAUAAAAAAAAAAACACACUGUGCGGACGAUGGGUUGGGUUAAUAUGCAGUCAGAAAAAAUAAAACAAGGAGUCACAAAAAAAAAACAAAAAAAAAAAACACACCAUCAUUUGGCAUUCAUUUUGGCUGGUGUCUUAAUAAAGGGGCCAAGCUGAGCAAAAACAAAGGUUUUGUUUAUUGGCUUCUGGAAGUAAAUAAGUCCAGUUACAUCUGGAUGAUAGUCAAUGUAGUUUGCAUAUCUAAAACAAUUACUGAAGCCUUAAGGUGUAAGAUCACUUUUUUUAAAUGCUCUGAUUAAUUGAUUGAUUGAUUGAUUGAUUGAUUGAUUGAUUGAUUGAUUGAAACUGUUGUUUUCUAAAGUACCCCAAAACCAAACCAACUCCAAAGGACUUACGAGACUUUCUCCCUUCACUCAUACAGGCAGCCAUGUCAUUGUGUGUGUUUGGCUCUGCUGCAAGUGAACAAGGAGUGAAGAGAAUAAUGGGAGGCCAGGUGGAGAGGUGGAGGAGGUUACAAAAGUGAAAAUCUAGACUUUCAAUUUUGCAAAUCAUACAGAACUAUAAAUGGAAAUUAGUUAAUUUAACUCUUUACCCAGCAUUGAUAAAAUAUUCUGUCAAUUCGUGUUUUCACUGUAAUAUGGGCGGCGCUGUUUUGUACUUUGUGAAUUAUUGCACUCCUUUGAUCCCAUUAACAAGUGGGAGUUAACAGUAAAGGAGAGGAGAGAGGUACAGGUGUAGAUGAGAGAAGGGGAAAUCUUGCUGAUGCAGGAUGCAGGAAAGCCUCUUGAGAGGUGGACAAUCAGAGGAGAGUAGGCUCAUAGAGGGCGGCUUCAAGAGAAAGCCGCCAAAACAAAGCAUUUUAGAUGGAAGCUGAAAAAUGAUAUUUUAAUACACCAGAGGGAAAAACACGAGUCUUUGUGGAUCUAAAAAUCAUUUAAAGCUAUUACAGAGGUAUCAGAGUGGAAUUCCCCAAAAAGCCACUCUAUAGCCACAAAUAAUACUCAGAACAGCACCCAACUUCAUCAAUAGUACAUGUAGGGUCGCAGCCACAGUACUAGCCACCAAACAUCUUUUUUACUUUGCCUUAUUUCUUUUGCAAAAAGACUAAACACAACUCACCUCUCUCAUUCAGCAGCCCCUUAUUUGUAACGUGACUUCAGGCUGCGGGGUGAAGCAGCAAAAGAAACAACAUUUGAUCUAUAUUCUGAGCUGCGAUUGCGUGGCAUCACUGCUCAGAAUAUUGGCCGUCCCAUCUUUUCACUUCACAGACUUAUGGUGGCUUCAUGGCGUGAACGGUGGACACUAGCCAGGAAGAGUAAAAGACUGACAUAAUUUUGACAUGAAUUUGAUGUUUAGGAUGUCAGUUGAUAAUUUGUGUUUCUGCAUGACCAAAAAAAAUCUGAAUACAGAUUAUUUGACUGUAAAAGGUUUUCCAGAAUACCUUGCUACUUUGAUGACACCCUGUGACCCUGGGUCAUCCUGGGUCACCCUUUGAUACCCAUGUAUCGAUUUGAAUUUAUAAUAAAUGUUUUAAGAUUAAUAGUUGACAAUAAUCUCUAAAUUAUGACAUUUAUGCACACCUUAAAAGGGGCACCAUCCACUUUUAAUGGUAGGAAAAUAAAGAAAAACAAAAGUUUAAUUCAGAAAUCAAACAUUCAGUGAAUCUUAAAUUAAUCAAUCUCAUAUCUCAAGCCGAAAUUCUCAUUUCAGGGACUCAACUUCUGGAAGAACACUAACAGACAAGAACUUAGAAAAAUAAAUGAAUUGUUUAUUACAGGAUAAAUGAUUGUACAACAUCCAUGCAAUAAAUGAGGAUAAGAUGAGGAUAGAUAAUGACAGAUGAAUGAAAGAUUCUCAGUCAGGCUAGGACUACGAAAGUUAAUGAUAGUUAGUGAAUAUGCUCUAACAUAUUAACCUACAUUAACUUUGAUGAAAAGAUAAAUUUGGAUAUGGUUAUCUGAAUUAUGAAGCAUGAGACAUCAUCAGCCCUGUUUGGAGCUCUGGAGGUUUGGACACUUAAGUGAGGCUGGUCCUUGGAGAGGAUGGAGCAGGUCCCGAAGGUCCAGGCUACCGGUGUAGUAUCUGGGCUGUCCGCGAUGUGUAGAUGCAGAAGGAGGCUUCAUGACACUGGCUUGCUUGUAUAAGAGGAGUUUAUUAUAAAGACAAUACCAGUAUCAGAACAGCACUGCAGUUGCUGGGAGAGGACUGCCAAUGAUGUCCAGCUCUCUCAAACCAGAGUUUGUGACCCUGUUAUAUACGGUCAAGGAUGUAAGUCCUCCUAGAUUCUCGUUGUCCCCAAGCUAUCUUUCAUUACCAUCUAGUUUUUUAUUUAACCUACAAUUGUGACCUGUGUCCUGUGACCUGUGACCUGCAAACGUGCAACUCCCAAGAUAUCCAGACCUAGGUACCAUUAAAGAGACACAAGAAAAACACUUGGGCCCCGGUGGGGCACUGGCGGGCCCGAGCCGUGUCGCGCCGCCCCCAGCGCGACCGCCUACCCCUCCCGAUCGCGUCACACUCAAGGUCCAAAGAUGGUGUGCGCACUUGUCUGUGGUCAUUUACCAUUAUAAUGAAUGGGAGGCGCAUUUUCUACCAAAACGCUCGCUGCAGACAAACUCCAUGUCCUUUUUGAAAAAAGUCUGGACCAUGAGUGAGGGGGGGGGGGGGGCGCUCUUUUGGGGAGAAAAAAUUCCUUCACAAAUGUGUUGAUGGCUGGACAUUGCAUCAUCGUAGAAAACUUGGAGGCCAGUGAGGACAAAAAUAAAAAGUUAUAAGACUUUGAAAUAUGUGGAUUUUAGGGUUAUCUUUGGUGCCCCCUAGAACCUAAACCGUGGGGUGCAAUGUCAUGAUUUGAAUAACUUUCAAUGGCCAUGGGGUGUAGAUUGGCCUGAGCAAAUGUGGUGCCAGUGGAACGAAAGCCUUCGGAGGAGUUAGCGAAAUUCCAAUGUGUGCGGAUCGGCAAAAAAUGCGAAAUAACCCUUUAACCGUACAUUUGACAGAUACGCCCGCACUGACUUUUUUGUAGAUCUUAUUGAGAUACAUAUGUGUGUCAAUUUUUGUGUCAAUAUGACAAAGCGUACAGGCGUGACAGUCAAUAGUGUGAAUUUCCACCUUAGGGGGCGCUAUGGAGCCAUUUUGCAUUUUAUUGUUUGGGUGACUUCAGAAUAUCGAAUUUUUCACCAGGCCCGGUCGUCCUGCCAAAUUUCAUGAGUUUUCGCCAGUGGGAAGUGGGCCAUUAUCCAGUUCAAAGGGGAGGAAAAAGAAGAAACUAGGGCCCCGUUGGGGCACUGGCGGGCCGGAGCUGUGUCGCGCCGCCCCCAACACGACCGCCUCUCCCUCCUGAUCGCGUCACACUCAAGGUCCAAAGAUGGUGUGCGCACUUGUCUGUGGUCAUUUACCAUUAUAAUGAAUGUGGGGCGCAGUUUCUACCAAAACGCUCGCUGCAGACAAACUACAUGUCCUAUUCGAAAAAAGUCUGGACUAUGAGUGAGGGCACAAACACAGCAAGGAUAUAUCCAAAUGGCAAGUUGCUCCUCCUUUCGGUUUUGCCGAGAGGGCGAUGUGUUUGAGCCAUUGAGCGAUGGUCAGGAAAAACUUGACUUUUUCUCCUGCCAUGGGGGGGCACUCUUUUAGGGAGUAACAAUUCCUUCACAAAUGUGUUGAUGGCUAGACAUUGCAUCAUCCUAGAAAACUUGGAAGCCAGUGAGGACAAAAAUGAAAAGUUAUAAGACUUUUAAGAAUGUGGAUUUUUGGGUUAUCUUUGGCGCCCCCUAGAACAUAAACCGUGGGGUGCAGCGUCAUGAUUUGUACAACUUUUAAUGGCCAUGGGGUGUAGAUUGGCCUGAGCAAAUUUGGUGCCGGUGGAACAAAAGCUUUAGGAGGAGUUAGGCACAUUCCAAUGUGUGCGAAUCGACCAAAAAUGCGUAAUAGCCCUUUAACCGUACAUUUUACAGAUACGCGCGCAUAGACUUUUUUGUAGAUCUUAUUGAGAUACAUGUGUGUGUCAAUUUUUGUGUCAUUUUGCCAAAGCGUACAGGCGUGACACUCAACAAUGUGUAUUUUCACCUUAGGAGACAAGAAAAAAUGGACCUUUUUCUCCUGCCAUGGGGGGCGCUCUUUUGGGGAGUAAAAAUUCCUUCACAAAUGUGUUGAUGGCUGGACAUUGCAUCAUCCUAGAAAACUUGGAGGCCAGUGAGGACAAAAAUAAAAAGUUAUAAGACUUUGAAAUAUGUGGAUUUUAGGGUUAUCUUUGGCGCCCCCUAGAACCUAAACCGUGGGGUGCAGCAUCAUGAUUUGAAUAACUUUUAAUGGCCAUGGGGUGUAAUUUGGCCCGAGCAAAUGUGGUGCCGGUGGAACGCCAGCCUUCGGAGGAGUUAGCGAAAUUCCAAUGUGUGCGUAUCGGCAAAAAAUGCGGAAUAACCCUUUAACCUUACAUUUGACAGAUACGCGCGUGUAGACUUUUUUGUAGAUCUUAUUGAGAUACAUGUGUGUGUCAAUUUUUGUGUCAUUUUGCCAAAGCGUACAGGUGUGACACUCAACAAUGUGUGUUUUCACCUUAGGGGACAAGAAAAAAUGGACUUUUUCUCCUGCCAUGGGGGGCGCUCUUUUGGGGAGUAAAAAUUCCUUCACAAAUGUGUUGAUGGCUGGACAUUGCAUCAUCCUAGAAAACUUGGAAGCCAGUGAGGACAAAAAUAAAAAGUUAUAAGACUUUUAAAUAUGUGGAUUUUUGGGUUAUCUUUGGCGCCCCCUAGAACAUAAACCGUGGGGUGCAGCGUCAUGAUUUGUACAACUUUUAAUGGCCAUGGGGUGUAGAUUGGCCUGAGCAAAUUUGGUGCCGGUGGAACAAAAGCUUUAGGAGGAGUUAGGCACAUUCCAAUGUGUGCGAAUCGACCAAAAAUGCGUAAUAGCCCUUUAACCGUACAUUUUACAGAUACGCGCGCAUAGACUUUUUUGUAGAUCUUAUUGAGAUACAUGUGUGUGUCAAUUUUUGUGUCAUUUUGCCAAAGCGUACAGGCGUGACACUCAACAAUGUGUAUUUUCACCUUAGGAGACAAGAAAAAAUGGACCUUUUUCUCCUGCCAUGGGGGGCGCUCUUUUGGGGAGUAAAAAUUCCUUCACAAAUGUGUUGAUGGCUGGACAUUGCAUCAUCCUAGAAAACUUGGAGGCCAGUGAGGACAAAAAUAAAAAGUUAUAAGACUUUGAAAUAUGUGGAUUUUAGGGUUAUCUUUGGCGCCCCCUAGAACCUAAACCGUGGGGUGCAGCAUCAUGAUUUGAAUAACUUUUAAUGGCCAUGGGGUGUAAUUUGGCCCGAGCAAAUGUGGUGCCGGUGGAACGCCAGCCUUCGGAGGAGUUAGCGAAAUUCCAAUGUGUGCGUAUCGGCAAAAAAUGCGGAAUAACCCUUUAACCUUACAUUUGACAGAUACGCGCGCGUAGACUUUUUUGUAGAUCUUAUUGAGAUACAUGUGUGUGUCAAUUUUUGUGUCAUUUUGCCAAAGCGUACAGGUGUGACACUCAACAAUGUGUGUUUUCACCUUAGGGGACAAGAAAAAAUGGACUUUUUCUCCUGCCAUGGGGGGGCGCUCUUUUGGGGAGUAAAAAUUCCUUCACAAAUGUGUUGAUGGCUGGACAUUGCAUCAUCCUAGAAAAACUUGGAAGCCAGUGAGGACAAAAAUAAAAAGUUAUAAGACUUUUAAAUAUGUGGAUUUGAGGGUUAUUUUUGGCGCCCCCUAGAACCUAAACCGUGGGGUGCAGCGUCAUGAUUUGAAUAACUUUUAAUGGCCAUGGGGUGUAGAUUGGCCUGAGCAAAUGUGGUGCCGGUGGAACGAAAGCCUUCAGAGGAGUUAGCGAAAUUCCAAUGUGUGCGGAUCGGGAAAAAAUGUGAAAUAACCCUUUAACCGUACAUUUGACAAAUACGCCCGCACUGACUUUUUUGUAGAUCUUAUUGAGAUACAUAUGUGUGUCAAUUUUUGUGUCAAUAUGACAAAGCGUACAGGCGUGACAGUCAAUAGUGUGAAUUUACACCUUAGGGGGCGCUAUGGAGCCAUUUUGCAUUUUAUUGUUCGGGCGACUUCAGUAUAUCGAAUUUUUCACCAGGCCCGGUCGUCCUGCCAAAUUUCAUGAGUUUUCGCCAGUGGGAAGUGGGCCAUUUUCCAGUUCAAAGGGGAGGAAAAAGAAGAAAGAAGAAACAAAGAAAAACCACUACAGGAACAACAGGGCUCUACGCCCGGCUGCUAUGCAGCUGGCUCGGGCCCUAACUAGGGCCCCGUUGGGGCACUGGCGGGCCCGAGCUGUGUCGCGCCGCCCCCAGCAAGACCGCCUCCCUGUCCCAUUCACGUCCUCAGGCUGUCGCCCUCUGUGGUGACGCCCAUCACUGCAAAGACCCUUUUCCUUCAUCGGUGUUUGCUGUUCUUCUUGCCAGUGCGUGUUGCUUCCACUUAUACUUGCCACAGCCAGCCCCCUAGAACGUAAACCGUGGGGUGCAGCGUCAUGAUUUUUACAACUUUGAAUGGCCAUGGAGUGUAGAUUGGCCUGAGCAAAUUUGGUGUCAGUGGGACGAAAGCCUUAGGAGGACUUAGCGAAAUUCCAAUGUGUGCAAAUCGCCAAAAAAUGCAAAAUAGCCCUUUAACUGUACAUUUUACACUAACGUGCCCAUUGACUUUUUCAUAGAUCUUAUGGAGAUACACGUGAUUGUCAAAUUUUUUGUCAAUAUGACAAAGCGUAAAGGCGUGACACUCAACAACGUGUAUUUUCACCUUUCGGGAUAAGAAAAAAUGGACUUUUUUCUCCUGCCAUGGGGGGGCGCUCUUUUUGGGGAGUAAAAAUUUCUUCACAAAUGUGUUGAUGGCUGGACAUUGCAUCAUCCUAAAAAACUUGGAGGCCAGUAUGGAAAAAAAUAAAAAGUUAUAAGACUUUUAAGAAUGUGGAUUUUUGGGUUAUAUUUGGUGCCCCCUUGAACCCAAACCGUGGGGUGCAGCAAGAUGAUUUGUACAACUUUUAAUGGCCAUGGGGUGUAGAUUGGCCUGAGCAAAUUUGGUGCCGGUGGAAAGAUAGCCUUCGGAGGAGUUAGCGAAAUUCCAAUGUGUGCGGAUCGGCAAAAAAUGCAAAAUAGCCCUUUAACCGUACAUUUGACAGAUACAUGCCCUCGACUUUUUCGUAGAUCUUAUUGAGAUACACGUGAUUGUCAAAUUUUGUGUCAAUAUGACAAAGCAUAUAGGCGUGACACUCGACAAUGUGUAUUUUCACCUUAGGAGACAAGAAAAAAUGGACCUUUUUCUCCUGCCAUUGGGGGGCGCUCUUUUGGGGAGUAAAAAUUCCUUAACAAAUGUGUUGAUGGCUGGACAUUGCAUCAUCCUAGAAAACUUGGAGGCCAGUGAGGACAAAAGUAAAAAGUUAUAAGACUUUUAAGAAUGUGGAUUUUUGGGUUAUCUUUGGCGCCCCCUAGAACGUAAACCGUGGGGUGCAGCGUCAUGAUUUGUACAACUUUUAAUGGCCAUGGGGGGUAGAUUGGCCUGCGCAAAUGUGGUGCCGGUCGAACGAAAGCCUUCGGAGGAGUAAGCGAAAUUCCAAUGUGUGCAGAUCUGCAAAAAAUGCAAAAUAACCCAUUAACCGUACAUUUGACAGAUACGCCCGCACUGACUUUUUUGUAGAUCUUAUUGAGAUACAUGUUUGUGUCAAUUUUUGUGUCAAUAUGACAAAGCGUACAGCCGUCAUGUGAAUUUUCACCUUAGGGGGCGCUAUGGAGCCAUUUUGAAUUUUAUUGUUUGGGCGACUUCAGAAUAUCGAAUUUUUCACCAGGCCCGGUCGUCCUGCCAAAUUUCCUGAGUUUUCGCCAGUGGGAAGUGGGCCAUUUUCCAGUUUAAAGCUCAGGAAAAAAAAGAAGAAACUAGGGCCCCGUUGGGGCACUGGCGGGCCGGAGCUGUGUCGCGCCGCCCCCAACACGACCGCCUCUCCCUCCUGAUCGCGUCACACUCUAGGUCCAAAGAUGGAGUGCGCACUUCUCUGUGGUCAUUUCCCAUUAUAAUGAAUGGGAGGCGCAGUUUCUACCAAAACACUCACUGCAGACAAACUACAUGUCCUAUUUGAAAAAAGUCUGGACCAUGAGUGAGGGCACAAACACAGCUAGGAUAUAUCCAAAUGGCAAGUUGCUCCUCCUUUCGCUUUUGCCGAGAGAGCGAUGCGAUUGAGCCAUUGAGCGAUGGGCAGGAAAAACUUGACUUUUUCUCCUGCCAUGGGGGGAGGGGGGGGGGAUGUGGAUUCUUUUAAGAAUGUGGAUAUUUGGGUCAUCUUUGGCACCCCCUAGAACGUAAACCGUGGGGUGCAGCGUCAUGAUUUUUACAACUUUGAAUGGCCAUGGGGUGUAGAUUGGCCUGAGCAAAUUUGGUGUCGGUGGGACGAAAGCCUUAGGAGGAGUUAGCCACAUUCCAAUGUGUGCGAAUCGGCAAAAAAUGCAAAAUAGCCCUUUAACCGUACAUUUUACAGAUAUUUGCGCAUGACUUUUUCAUAGAUCUUAUUGAGAUACACGUGAUUGUCAAAUUUUGUGUCAUUUUGACAAAGCGUACAGGCGUGACACUCAACAAUGUGUAUUUUCACCUUAUGGGACAAGAAAAAAUGGACUUUUUUCUCCUGCCAUGGGGGGCGCUCUUUUGGGGAGUAAAAAUUCCUUCACAAAUGUGUUGAUGGCUGGACAUUGCAUCAUCCUAGAAAACUUGGAGGCCAGUGAGGACAAAAAUAAAAAGUUAUAAGACUUUUAAGAAUGUGGAUUUUUGGGUUAUCUUUGGCGCCCCCUAGAACCUAAACCGUGGGGUGCAGCGUCAUGAUUUGUACAACUUUUAAUGGCCAUGGGGUGUAGACUGGCCUGAGCAAAUUUGGUGCCGGUGGAACGAAAGCCUUCGGAGGAGUUAGCGAAAUUCCAAUGUGUGCGGAUCGGCAAAAAAUGCGAAAUAGCCCUUUAACCGUACAUUAUACAGAUACGCGCUCUUUGACUUUUUCGUAGAUCUUAUUGAGAUACACGUGUGUGUCAAAUUUUGUGUCAAUAUGACAAAGCGUUCAGGCAUGACACUCAACAAUGUGUAUUUUCACCUUAGGGGACAAGAAAAAAUGGACUUUUUUCUCCUGCCAUGGGGGGCGCUCUUUUGGGGAGUAAAAAUUUCUUCACAAAUGUGUUGAUGGCUGGACAUUGCAUCAUCCUAGAAAACUUGGAGGCCAGUGAGGACAAAAAUAAAAAGUUAUAAAAAUUUUAAGACUGUGGAUUUUUGGGUUAUCUUUGGCGCCCCCUAGAAUGUAAACCGUGGAGUGCAGCGUAAUGAUGUGUACAACUUUUAAUGGCCAUGGGGUGUAGAUUGUCCUGAGCCAAUUUGUUGCCGGUGGAACGAAAGCCUUCGGAGGAGUUAGCGAAAUUCCAAUGUGUGCGGAUCGGCAAAAAAUGCGAAAUAGCCCUUUAACCGUACAUUUGACAGAUACGCCCGCACUGACUUUUUUGUAGAUCUUAUUGAGAUACACAUGUGUGUCAAAUUUUGUGUCAUUUUGACAAAGCCUACAGGCGUCAGGUGAGUUUUCACCAUAGGGGGCCCUAUGGAGCCAUUUUUCAUUUUUUUGUUUGGGCGACUUCAGAAUAUCGAAUUUUUCACCAGGCCCGGUCGUCCUGCCAAAUUUCCUGAGUUUUCGCCAGUGGGAAGUGGGCCAUUUUCCAGUUUAAAGCGGAGGAAAAAUAACGAAACUAGGGCCCCGGUGGGGCACUGUCGGGCCCGAGCCGCGUCGCGCCGCCCCCAGCGCGACGGUGUUGCAGGGAGAGCGAUGCGAUUGAGCCAUUGAGCGAUGGGCAGGGUUAACUUGACUUUUUCUCCUGCCUUGGGGGAGGGGGGGGAUGUGGAUUCUUUUAAGAAUGUGGAUAUUUGGGUCAUCUUUGGCGCCCCCUAGAACGUAAACCGUGGGGUGCAGCGUCAUGAUUUUUACAACUUUGAAUGGCCAUGGGAUGUAGAUCGGCUUGAGCAAAUUUGGUGUCGGUGGGACGAAAGCCUUAGGAGGAGUUAGCCACAUUCCAAUGUGUGCGAAUCGGCAAAAAAUGCAAAAUAGCCCUUUAACCGUACAUUUUACAGAUACGUGCCCAUUGACUUUUUCGUAGAUCUUAUUGAGAUACACGUGUGUGUCAAAUUUUGUGUCAUUUUGACAAAGCGUAUAGGCGUGACAGUCAACAAUGUGUUUUUUCACCUUAGGGGACAAGAAAAAAUUGACUUUUUUCUCCUGUCAUGGGGGGGCGCUCUUUUCGGGAGUAAAAAUUCCUUUACAAAUGUGUUGAUGGCUGGACAUUGCAUCAUCCUAGAAAACUUGGAGGCCAGUGAGGACAAAAAUAAAAAGUAAUAAGACUUUCAAGAAUGUGGAUUUGUGGGUUAUCUUUGGCGCCCCCUAGAACCUCAACCGUGGGGUGCAGCGUCAUGAUUUGUACAACUUUCAAUUGCCAUGGGGUGUAGAUUGGCCUGAGCAAAUGUGGUGCCGGUGGAAAAAAAGCCUUCGGAGGAGUUAGCGAAAUUCCAAUGUGUGCGGAUCGGCAAAAAAAUGCAAAAUAACCCUUUAACCGUACAUUUGACAGAUACGCCCGCACUGACUUUUUUGUAGAUCUUAUUGAGAUACAUGUGUGUGUCAAUUUUUGUGUCAAUAUGACAAAGCGUACAGGCGUGACAGUGAAUAGUGUAAAUUUUCACCUUAGGGGGCCCUAUGGAGCCAUUUUGCAUUUUAUUGUUUGGGCGACUUCAGAAUAUCGAAUUUUUCACCAGGCCCGGUCGUCCUGCCAAAUUUCAUGAGUUUUCGCCAGUGGGAAGUGGGCCAUUUUCCAGUUUAAAGCGGAGGAAAAAUAAUAAUAAUAACUAGGGCCCCGGUGGGGCACUGUCGGCCGUCCCCGGCGCGACCGCCUCCCCCUCCCGAUCGCGUCACACUCAAGGUCCAAAGAUGGUGUGCGCACUUGUCUGUGGUCAUUUCCCAUUAUAAUGAAUGGGAGGCGCAGUUUCUACCAAAACACUCGCUGCAGACAAACUACAUGUCCUAUUUGAAAAAAGUCUGGACCAUGAGUGAGGGCACAAACACAGCUAGGAUAUAUCCAAACGGCAAGUUGCUCCUUGUUACAGUGUUGCCGGGAGAGCGAUGCGAUUGAGCCAUUGAGUGAUGGGCAGGAAAAACUUGACUGUUUCUCCUGCCAUGGGGGAUGGGGGAUGGGGGGGGGGGGGAGAUACACGUGAUUGUCAAAUUUUUUGUCAAUAUGACAAAGCGUUUAGGCGUGACACUCAACAAUGUGUAUUUUCAUGUUAGGGGACAAGAAAAACUUGACUUUUUUCUCCUGCCAUGGGGGGGCGCUCUUUUGGGGAGUAAAAAUUCCUUCACAAAUGUGUUGAUGGCUUGACAUGGCAUCAUCCUAGAAAACUUGGAGGCCAGUGAGGACAAAAAUAAAAAGUUAGAAGACUUUUAAGAAUGUGGAUUUUUGGGUUAUCUUUGGCGCCCCCUAGAACGUAAACCGUGGGGUGCAGCGUCAUGAUUUGUACAACUUUUAAUGGCCAUGGGGUGUAGAUUGGCCUGAGCAAAUGUGGUGCCGGUGGAAGGAAAGCCUUCGGAGGAGUUAGCGAAAUUCCAAUGUGUGCGGAUCGGCAAAAAAUGCGAAUUAGCCCUUUAACAGUACAUUUGACAGAUACGCUCGCACUGACUUUUUUGUAGAUCUUAUUGAGAUACACAUGUGUGUCAAAUUUUGUGUCAUUUUGACAAAGUGUACAGGCUUCAGGUGAGUUUUCCCCAUAGGGGGCGCUAUGCAGCCAUUUUUCAUUUUUUUGUUUGGGCGACUUCAGAAUAUCAAAUUUUUCACCAGGCCCGGUCGUCCUGCCAAAUUUCCUGAGUUUUCGCCAGUGGGAAGUGGGCCAUUUUCCAGUUUAAAGCGGAGGAAAAAUAACGAAAGAAGAAUCCAUCAGGAACAAGAGGGCUCUCGCAGCUGCUUAGCAGCUACGCUCGGGCCCUAAUAACAAACUAGGACCCCGUUGGGGCACUGGCGGGCCCGAGCUGUGUCGCGUCCCCCCCCCCAACGCGCUGCCUCCCCGUCCCAUUUGUGUCCUCUGGCCAUCGCCCUCUCUGGUAACGCCCAUCACUGCAAAGACCAUUUUCCUUCAUCUGCGUUUGCUGUUCUUCCUGCCAGUGCGUGUUGCUUUCACUUACACUUGCCACAGCCAGCCUCAUGAGUGCCUAGCCUAUUGGAUAUCACUGUCACCUACACAGGACAGUCAUUACCUUUCUAUUAAUACUUUGUUUUUUAAUUUCACAUUAAUUUCCAUAUUGUAUAAACAACUGGAAAAAACUUGAGCCCCUGCCCCUGUAUAAUCAUGUGCACGUCUCUGUUCUAGCUCUAAGGUGAAUCUUCACUGCUCAUGUUCUCCUCAGAAGCAGUCACCUCACUCCCCUCAGGUUACUGUACACAUGCACCAACUGCCUGCUUCAGGUUUGGAUGGAGCUUCAUGGUUGUCUUUUGGAGAAAUGACCAGUCAAGUUGUGUUUGAAAUUUGAUUUUUUUCAGGGGCAAAAGGAGCCUCUGCAUUCUUGUCAAAUAUGUAAAUAGCAUGUUUUUGCAGGUGCUAAAAACCAGACUCUGAGUGUAUGUGUGUGCGUGUGUGUGUGUCUGUGUGUGUGUGUGUGUGUGCGUUCAAGUCACAUGACAUAUUUAACCGGAUGUAGCUGCAAGACGGAGCCUCGUUGACUCUCCGUUUCAACUUAUCUCAAAAGUGAGGACCUCAACCUAUAUACCAGUUUUUAAAUUGUGUUGAUAGGCCAAAUAAAACCAGAGUUAUGAUAAAUUAUGUCCGCGAUACUUGUUUUCUGCUUAUUUUGAUCACGUUCGGCGCUCGAUCGCGCUGUAUGAGACAGGAAAACAUAGCAUGCAGACAUUAGCGACAGGUCUUACAGGCGGAAAAGGCUUGCCAAAAGAAAAAAAAAAACACACCACAACAUCUCUCCUAUUGGUGGAAAACUUCACCACAACAACCAAUCCAAAAUUAUAUGGUGACUGAUUGACAAGGGGCGGGCGCUUACGUUCUUCCUGCAAUAUGAGAAGGGAGGGAGGGACUCUCAGCAGGGAUGCAGUCUGGGACACGUAGUUGCAAACCUAGCGACUUUGUUGUUAGAUUCAAUGACUUUUCAGACCCCCUAACGACUUUUUUUUAGAAAGAAAGUGACUUUUAUUGACUUCUUCUGGAGUUUAGAGACUCUGACGUGAAGCAGGCUUUCCUUACUGAGGAGUUAGCAACGCUGCUAAGGGUGCAGAGCCACACAUGCGCUCCGAGCUCUGCAUGGGAGACUGAAGCUGACAGAGCUGCAGCAGUUAGCAGGUUUCACCCUCAGAGACCACCAGGGGUUCAUGUUGAGGCAUUUUCAGUUUUUUUUUUUUUUUUGCCAUAGACACUGUCAGCACAAUCUGCAGUUACACUAACAAAAAUGCUGCAAAAAACAAAGAAUUAUGGAAAAAUUACACAUGGACUGACAUAGAGGAGGAUCUACACAAGUUUUUUACAUCAUGUUUUACAUCAUGCAUCAUUUACAUCAUGUUUUUUUGUAGUGGCAUAAAUAAAAAGUGACAUUUGUGAGACUAUACAGUGUUUUGUAAAUAAUUUUACAAAGAACACCUGGGCCAUUGCCUGCAUUUUGAUGUAAAUAGAGGUAAAUUACUAUGUUCUUUGUUAAAAAUUUGCAUAUGUUUUGAAGUUUACAAUUUUUAUUUGAAGUUUAAGUUUUAAAAACAGUUCAUCACACAUAUUUGUGGUUUUCACAGUAAAAACGUUACUUUUUUCCACUCGGAUUUUAUGUUUUGUGUGUGAAUUUGGGUCCAAUGUGUAAAUAUAGUAUGUCAAAAUGAUAAAAUAACUGUAAAUUGACACAGGUGAGGUUGUGCUGAAAAAAAUGAUACCAGGCAAGGCAAGGUAAAAAUUUUGUAAGAGGAAAUAUAAAGGUAAAAUCUAAAGUAGUCAAAAACGGCCAAUAGUGACUCACAGACUCCACAGACAAGUCCCUUUGGCGCCACUCAGUGGGCAAAACUACUUUGUCUACUGUAAUGUAUAUUUGGGUCAUCUUUGGCGCCCCCUAAAACGUAAACCGUGGGGUGCAGCGUCAUGAUUUUUACAACUGUGAAUGGCCAUGGAGUGUAGAUUGGCCUGAGCAAAUUUGGUGUCAGUGGGACGAAAGCCUUAGGAGGAGUAAGCCACAUUCCAAUGUGUGCGAAUCGGCAAAAAAUGCAAAAUAGCCCUUUUACCGUACAUUAUACAGAUACGCGCUCUUUGACUUUUUCAUAGAUCUAAUUGAGAUACACAUGAUUGUCAAUUUUUGUGUCAUUUUGCCAAAGCGUACAGGCGUGACAGUCAACAAUGUGUAUUUUCACCUUAGGGGACAAGAAAAAAUGGACUUUUUUCUCCUGCCAUGGGGGGGCGCUCUUUUAGGGAGUAAAAAUUCCUUCACAAAUGUGUUGAUGGCUGGACAUUGCAUCAUCCUAGAAAACUUGGAGGCCAGUGAGGACAAAAAUAAAAAGUUAUAAGACUUUUAAAAAUGUGGAUUUUUGGGUUAUCUUUGGCGCCCCCUAGAACGUAAACCGUGGGGUGCAGCGUCAUGAUUUGAAUAACUUUGAAUGGCCAUGGAGUGUAGAUUGGCCUGAGCAAAUUUGGUGUCAGUGGGACGAAAGCCUUAGGAGGACUUAGCAAUAUUCCAAUGUGUGCGAAUCGCCAAAAAAUGCAAAAUAGCCCUUUAACUGUACAUUUUACACUUACGUGCCCAUUGACUUUUUCAUAGAUCUUAUUGAGAUACACGUGAUAGUCAAAUUUUUUGUCAAUAUGACAAAGCGUAAAGGCAUGACACUCAACAACGUGUAUUUUCACCUUUCGGGAUAAGAAAAAAUGGACUUUUUUCUCCUGCCAUGGGGGCACGCUCUUUUGGCGAGUAAAAAUUCCUUCACAAAUGUGUUAAUUGCUGGACAUUGCAUCAUCUUAGAGAACUUGGAGGCCAGUGAGGACAAAAAUAAAAAGUUAUAAGACUUUUAAGACUGUGGAUUUUUGGGUUAUCUUUGGCGCCCCCUAGAACCUAAACCAUGGGGUGCAGCAUCAUGAUUUGAAUAACUUUUAAUGGCCAUGGGGUGUAGAUUGGCCUGAGCAAAUGUGGUGCCGGUGGAACGAAAGCCUUCGGAGGAGUUAGCGAAAUUCCAAUGUGUGCGGAUCGGCAAAAAAUGCGGAAUAACCCUUUAACUGUACAUUUGACAGAUACGCGCGCAUGGACUUUUUUGUAGAUCUUAUUGAGUUACAUGUGUGUGUCAAUUUUUGUGUCAUUUUGACAAAGCGUAUAGGCGUGACACUCAACAAUGUGUAUUUUCACCUUAGGGGACAAGAAAAAAUGGACUUUUUUCUCCUGCCAUGGGGGGGCGCUCUUUUGGGGAGUAAAAAUUCCUUCACAAAUGUGUUGAUGGCUGGACAUUGCAUCAUCCUAGAAAACUUGGAGGCCAGUGAGGGCAAAAAUAAAAAGUUAUAAGACUUUUAAAUAUGUGGAUUUUAGGGUUAUCUUUGGCGCCCCCUAGAACCUAAACCGUGGGGUGCAGCGUCAUGAUUUGAAUAACUUUCAAUGGCCAUGGGGUGUAGAUUGGCCUGAGCAAAUGUGGUGCCGGUGGAACGAAAGCCUUCGGAGGAGUUAGCGAAAUUCCAAUGUGUGCGGAUCGGCAAAAAAUGCGAAAUAACCCUUUAACCGUACAUUUGACAGAUACGCCCGCAUGACUUUUUUGUAGAUCUUAUUGAAAUACAUGUGUGUGUCAAUUUUUGUGUCAUUUUGACAAAGCGUACAGGCGUGACAGUCAAUAGUGUGAAUUUUCACCUUAGGGGGCGCUAUGGAGCCAUUUUGCAUUUUCUUGUUUGGGCGACUUCGGAAUAUCAAAUUUUUCACCAGGCCCGGUCGUCCUGCCAAAUUUCCUGAGUUUUCGCCAGUGGGAAGUGGGCCAUUUUCCAGUUCAAAGGGGAGGAAAAAUAAUAACUAGGACCCCGUUGGGGCACUGGCGGGCCCGAGCCGUGUCGCGUCCCCCCCGCAACGUGCUGCCUCCCCGUCCCAUUUGUGUCCUCUGGCCAUCGCCCUCUCUGGUAACGCCCAUCACUGCAAAGACCCUUUUCCUUCAUCGGCGUUUGCUGUUCUUCCUGCCAGUGCGUGUUGCUUUCACUUACACUUGCCACAGCCAGCCUCGUGAGUGCCUAGCCUAUUGGAUAUCACUGUCACCUACACAGGACAGUCAUUACCUUUCUAUUAAUACUUUGUGUUUUAAUUUCACAUUAAUUUCCAUAUUGUAUAAACGACUGGAAAAAACUUGAGCCCCUGCCCCUGUAUAAUCAUGUGCAUGUCUCUGUUCUAGCUCCAAGGUGAAUUUUCACUGCUCAUGUUCUCCUCAGAAGCAGUCACCUCACUCCCCUCAGGUUACUGUACACAUGCACCAACUGCCUGCUUCAGGUUUGGAUGGAGCUUCAUGGUUGUCUUUUGGAGAAAUGACCAGUCAAGUUGUGUUUGAAAUUUGAUUUUUUUCAGGGGUAAAAGGAGCCUCUGCAUUCUUGUCAAAUAUGUAAAUAGCAUGUUUUUGCAGGUGCUAAAAACCAGACUCUGAGUGUGUGUGUGUGUGUGUGUGCGUGUGUGUGUGUCUGUGUGUGCGUUCAAGUCACAUGACAUAUUUAACCGGAUGUAGCUGCAAGACGGAGCCUCGUUGACUCUCCGUUUCAACUUAUCUCAAAAGUGAGGACCUCAACCUAUAUACCAGUUUUUAAAUUGUGUUGAUAGGCCAAAUAAAACCAGAGUUAUGAUAAAUUAUGUCCGCGAUACUUUUUUUCUGCUUAUUUUGAUCACGUUCGGCGCUCGAUCGCGCUGUAUGAGACAGGAAAACAUAGCAUGCAGACAUUAGCGACAGGUCUUACAGGCGGAAAAGGCUUGCCAAAAGAAAAAAAAAACACACCACAACAUCUCUCCUAUUGGUGGAAAACUUCACCACAACAACCAAUCCAAAAUUAUAUGGUGACUGAUUGACAAGGGGCGGGCGCUUACGUUCUUCCUGCAACAUGAGAAGGGAGGGAGGGACUCUCAGCAGGGAUGCAGUCUGGGACACGUAGUUGCAAACCUAGCGACUUUGUUGUUAGAUUCAAUGACUUUUCAGACCCCCUAACGACUUUUUUUUAGAAAGAAAGGGACUUUUAUCGACUUCUUCUGGAGUUUAGAGACUCUGACAUGAAGCAGGCUUUCCUUACUGAGGAGUUAGCAACGCUGCUAAGGGUGCAGAGCCACACAUGCGCUCAGAGCUCUGCAUGGGAGACUGAAGCUGACAGAGCUGCAGCAGUUAGCAGGUUUCACCCUCAGAGACCACCAGGGGUUCAUGUUGAGGCAUUUUAAUUUUUUUUUUUUUUUGUGCCAUAGACACUGUCAGCACAAUCUGCAGUUACACUAACAAAAAUGCUGCAAAAAACAAAGAAUUAUGGAAAAAUUACACAUGGACUGACAUAGAGGAGGAUCUACACAAGUUUUUUACAUCAUGUUUUACAUCAUGCAUCAUUUACAUCAUGUUUUUUUGUAGUGGCAUAAAUAAAAAGUGACAUUUGUGAGACUAUACAGUGUUUUGUAAAUAAUUUUACAAAGAACGCCUGGGCCAUUGCCUGCAUUUUGAUGUAAAUAGAGGUAAAUCACUAUGUUCUUUGUUAAAAAUUUGCAUAUGUUUUGAAGUUUACAAUUUUAAUUUGAAGUUUAAGUUUUAAAAACAGUUCAUCACACAUAUUUGUGGUUUUCACAGUAAAAAUGUUACUUUUUUCCACUCGGAUUUUAUGUUUUGUGUGUGAAUUUGGGUCCAUUGUGUAAAUUCAGUACGUCAACAUGAUAAAAUAACUGUAAAUUCGCACAGGUGAGGUUGUGCUGAAAAAAAUGAUACCAGGCAAGGCACGUGAUUGUCAAAUUUUGUGUCAAUAUGACAAAGCGUAUAGGCGUGAAUCUCAACAAUAUGUAUUUUCACCUUAGGGGACAAGAAAAAAUGGACUUUUUUCUCCUGCCAUGGGGGGGCGCUCUUUUGGGGAGUAAAAAUUCCUUCACAAAUGUGUUGAUGGCUGGACAUUGCAUCAUCCUAGAAAACUUGGAGGCCAGUGAGGACAAAAAUAAAAAGUUAUAAGACUUUUAAAUAUGUGGAUUUUAGGGUUAUCUUUGGCGCCCCCUAGAACCUAAACCGUGGGGUGCAGCGUCAUGAUUUUGAUAACUUUUAAUGGCCAUGGGGUGUAGAUUGGCCUGAGCAAAUGUGGUGCCGGUGGAACGAAAGCCUUAGGAGGAGUUAGCGAAAUUCCAAUGUGUGCGGAUCGGCAAAAAAUGCGGAAUAACCCUUUAACCGUACAUUUGACAGAUACGCGCGCAUUGACUUUUUCGUAGAUCUUAUUGAGUUACAUGUGUGUGUCAAUUUUUGUGUCAUUUUGACAAAGCGUAUAGGCGUGACACUCAACAAUGUGUAUUUUCACCUUAGGGGACAAGAAAAAAUGGACUUUUUUCUCCUGCCAUGGGGGGGCGCUCUUUUGGGGAGUAAAAAUUCCUUCACAAAUGUGUUGAUGGCUGGACAUUGCAUCAUCCUAGAAAACUUGGAGGCCAGUGAGGACAAAAAUAAAAAGUUAUAAGACUUUUAAAUAUGUGGAUUUUAGUGUUAUCUUUGGCGCCCCCUAGAACCUAAACCUUGGGGUGCAGCGUCAUGAUUUUGAUAACUUUUAAUGGCCACGGGGUGUAGAUUGGCCUGAGCAAAUGUGGUGCCGGUGGAACGAAAGCCUUCGGAGGAGUUAGCGAAAUUCCAAUGUGUGCGGAUCGGCAAAAAAUGCGAAAUAACCCUUUAACCGUAAUUUUGACAGAUACGGCCGCACUGACUUUUUUGUAGAUCUUAUUGAGAUACAUAUGUGUGUCAAUUUUUGUGUCAAUAUGACAAAGCGUACAGGCGUGACAGUCAAUAGUGUGAAUUUUCACCUUAGGGGGCGCUAUGGAGCCAUUUUGCAUUUUAUUGUUUGGGCGACUUCAGAAUAUCAAAUUUUUCACCAGGCCCGGUCGUCCUGCCAAAUUUCAUGAGUUUUCGCCAGUGGGAAGUGGGCCAUUUUCCAGUUCAAAGGGGAGGAAAAAGAAAAAAGAAAGAAAGAAACAAAGAAAAACCACUUGGGGAAUAAUAGGGCCUACGCCCGGCUGCUCUGCAGCUGGCUCGGGCCCUAAUAAUAACAAACUAGGGCCCCGUUGGGGCACUGGCGGGCCCGAGCUGUGUCACGCCGCCCCCAACACGACCGCCUCUCCCUCCCGAUCGCGUCACACUUAAGGUUCAACGAUGGUGUGCGCACUUGUCUGUGGUCAUUUACCAUUAUAAUGAAUGGGAGGCGCAGUUUCUACCAAAACGCUUGCUGCAGACAAACUACAUGUCCUAUUUGAAAAAAGUCUGGACCAUGAGUGAGGGCACAAACACAGCUAGGAUAUAUCCAAAUGGCAAGUUCCUCCUCCUUUUGUUUUUUUCCGAGAGAGCGAUGUGUUUGAGCCAUUGAGCGAUGGGCAGGAAAAACUUGACUUUUUCUCCUGCCAUGGGGGGGCACUCUUUUAGGGAGAAAAAAUUCCUUCACAAAUGUGUUGAUGGCUAGACAUUGCAUCAUCCUAGAAAACUUUGAAGCCAGUGAGGACAAAAAUGAAAAGUUAUAAGACUUUUAAGAAUGUGGAUUUUUGGGUUAUCUUUGGCGACCCCUAGAACGUAAACCGUGGGGUGCAGCAUCAUGAUUUGUACAACUUUUAAUGGCCAUGGGGUGUAGAUUGGCCUGAGCAAAUUUGGUGCCGGUGGAACAAAAGCUUUAGGAGGAGUUAGCCACAUUCCAAUGUGUGCGAAUCAACCAAAAAUGCGAAAUAGCCCUUUAACCGUACAUUUUGCAGACACGUGCGCAUUGACUUUUUCGUAGAUCUUAUUGAGAUACACGUGAUUAUCAAAUUUUGUUUCAAUAUGACAAAGCGUACAGGCGUGACACUCAACAAUGUGUAUUUUCACCUUAUAGGACAAGAAAAAAUUGCCUUUUUUCUCCUGCCAUGGGGGGGCGCUCUUUUGGGGAGUAAAAAUUCCUUCACAAAUGUGUUGAUGGCUGGACAUUGCAUCAUCCUAGAAAACUUGGAGACCAGUGAGGACAGAAAUAAAAAGUUAUAAGACUUGUAAGAAUGUGGAUUUUUGGGUUAUCUUUGGCGCCCCCUACAACGUAAACCGUGGGGUGCAGCGUCAUGAUUUGUACAACUUUGAAUGGCCAUGGGGUGUAGAUUGGCCUGAGCAAAUUUGGUGCCGGUGGAACGAAAGCCUUCGGAGGAGUUAGCGAAAUUCCAAUGUGUGCGGAUCUGCAAAAAAUGCGAAAUAGCCCUUUAAACGUACAUUUGACAGAUACGCCCGCACUGACUUUUUUGUAGAUCUUAUUGAGAUACACGUGUGUGUCAAAUUUUGUGUCAUUUUGACAAAGCGUACAGGCGUGACACUCAAUCAUGUGAAUUUUUCACCUUAGGGGGCGCUGUGGAGCCAUUUUGCAUUUGAUUGUUUGGGUGACUUCAGAAUAUCGAAUUUUUCACCAGGCCCGGUCGUCGUGCCAAAUUUCAUGAGUUUUCACCAGUGGGAAGUGGGCCAUUUUCCAGUUCAAAGGGGCAGAAAAAUAACUAGGGCCCCGUUGGGGCACUGGCGGGCCCGAGCCGUGUCGCGCCGCCCCCAGCGCGACCGCCUACCCCUCCCGAUCGCGUCACACUCAAGGUCCAAAGAUGGUGUGCGCACUUGUCUGUGGUCAUUUACCAUUAUAAUGAAUGGGAGGCGCAGUUUCUACCAAAACGCUCGCUGCAGACAAACUCCAUGUCCUUUUUGAAAAAAUUCUGGACCAGGAGUGAGGGCACAAACACAGCUAGUAUAUAUCCAAAUGGCAAGUUGCUCCUCCUUUCGGUUUUGCCGAGAGAGCGAUGCGUUUGAGCCAUUGAGCGAUGGGCAGGAAAAACUUGACUUUUUCCCCUGCCAUGGGGGGGCGCUCUUAUGGGGAGAAAAAAUUCCUUCACAAAUGUGUUGAUGACUGAACAUUGCAUCAUCCUAGAAAACUUGGAGGCCAGUGAGGACAAAAAUAAAGUUAUAAGACUUUUAAAAAUGUGGAUAUUUGGGUCCUCUUUGGCGCCCCCUAAAACGUAAACCGUGGGGUGCAGCGUCAUGAUUUUUACAACUUUGAAUGGCCAUGGAGUGUAGAUUGGCCUGAGCAAAUUUGGUGUCAGUGGGACGAAAGCCUUAGGAGGACUUAGCGAAAUUCCAAUGUGUGCGAAUCGCCAAAAAAUGCAAAAUAGCCCUUUAACUGUACAUUUUACACUUACGUGCCCAUUGACUUUUUCAUAGAUCUUAUUGAGAUACACGUGAUAGUCAAAUUUUUUGUCAAUAUGACAAAGCGUAAAGGCAUGACACUCAACAACGUGUAUUUUCACCUUUCGGGAUAAGAAAAAAUGGACUUUUUUCUCCUGCCAUGGGGGCGCGCUCUUUUGGCGAGUAAAAAUUCCUUCACAAAUGUGUUAAUUGCUGGACAUUGCAUCAUCUUAGAGAACUUGGAGGCCAGUGAGGACAAAAAUAAAAAGUUAUAAGACUUUUAAGACUGUGGAUUUUUGGGUUAUCUUUGGCGCCCCCUAGAACCUAAACCAUGGGGUGCAGCAUCAUGAUUUGUACAACUUUGAAUGGCCAUGGGGUGUAGAUUGGCCUGAGCAAAUUUGGUGCCGGUGGAACGAAAGCCUUCGGAGGAGUUAGCAAAAUUCCAAUGUGUGCGGAUCUGCAAAAAAUGCAAAAAUAACCCUUUAACCGUACAUUUGACAGAUACGCCCGCACUGACUUUUUUGUAGAUCUUAUUGAGAUACAUGUGUGUGUCAAUUUUUGUGUCAAUAUGACAAAGCGUACAGGCGUGACACUCAAUCAUGUGAAUUUUUCACCUUAGGGGGCGCUGUGGAGCCAUUUUGCAUUUGAUUGUUUGGCUGACUUCAGAAUAUCGAAUUUUUCACCAGGCCCGGUCGUCGUGCCAAAUUUCAUGAGUUUUCACCAGUGGGAAGUGGGCCAUUUUCCAGUUCAAAGGGGCAGAAAAAUAACUAGGGCCCCGUUGGGGCACUGGCGGGCCCGAGCCGUGUCGCGCCGCCCCCAGCGCGACCGCCUACCCCUCCCGAUCGCGUCACACUCAAGGUCCAAAGAUGGUGUGCGCACUUGUCUGUGGUCAUUUACCAUUAUAAUGAAUGGGAGGCGCAGUUUCUACCAAAACGCUCGCUGCAGACAAACUCCAUGUCCUUUUUGAAAAAAUUCUGGACCAGGAGUGAGGGCACAAACACAGCUAGUAUAUAUCCAAAUGGCAAGUUGCUCCUCCUUUCGGUUUUGCCGAGAGAGCGAUGCGUUUGAGCCAUUGAGCGAUGGGCAGGAAAAACUUGACUUUUUCCCCUGCCAUGGGGGGGCGCUCUUAUGGGGAGAAAAAAUUCCUUCACAAAUGUGUUGACGACUGAACAUUGCAUCAUCCUAGAAAACUUGGAGGCCAGUGAGGACAAAAAUAAAGUUAUAAGACUUUUAAAAAUGUGGAUAUUUGGGUUAUCUUUGGCGCCCCCUAAAACGUAAACCGUGGGGUGCAGCGUCAUGAUUUUUACAACUUUGAAUGGCCAUGGAGUGUAGAUUGGCCUGAGCAAAUUUGGUGUCAGUGGGACGAAAGCCUUAGGAGGACUUAGCGAAAUUCCAAUGUGUGCGAAUCGCCAAAAAAUGCAAAAUAGCCCUUUAACUGUACAUUUUACACUUACGUGCCCAUUGACUUUUUCAUAGAUCUUAUUGAGAUACACGUGAUAGUCAAAUUUUUUGUCAAUAUGACAAAGCGUAAAGGCAUGACACUCAACAACGUGUAUUUUCACCUUUCGGGAUAAGAAAAAAUGGACUUUUUUCUCCUGCCAUGGGGGGGCGCUCUUUUGGCGAGUAAAAAUUCCUUCACAAAUGUGUUAAUUGCUGGACAUUGCAUCAUCUUAGAGAACUUGGAGGCCAGUGAGGACAAAAAUAAAAAGUUAUAAGACUUUUAAGACUGUGGAUUUUUGGGUUAUCUUUGGCGCCCCCUAGAACCUAAACCAUGGGGUGCAGCAUCAUGAUUUGUACAACUUUGAAUGGCCAUGGGGUGUAGAUUGGCCUGAGCAAAUUUGGUGCCGGUGGAACGAAAGCCUUCGGAGGAGUUAGCAAAAUUCCAAUGUGUGCGGAUCUGCAAAAAAUGCAAAAAUAACCCUUUAACCGUACAUUUGACAGAUACGCCCGCACUGACUUUUUUGUAGAUCUUAUUGAGAUACAUGUGUGUGUCAAUUUUUGUGUCAAUAUGACAAAGCGUACAGGCGUGACAGUCAAUAGUGUGAAUUUUCACCUUAGGGGGCGCUAUGGAGCCAUUUUGCAUUUUAUUGUUUGGGCGACUUCAGAAUAUCGAAUUUUUCACCAGGCCCGGUCGUCCUGCCAAAUUUCCUGAGUUUUCGCCAGUGGGAAGUGGGCCAUUUUCCAGUUUAAAGCGGAGGAAAAAUAACUAGGGCCCCGGUGGGGCACUGUCGGGCCCGAGCCGCGUCGCGCCGCCCCCAGCGCGACCGCCUCCCCCCCCCGAUCGUGUCACACUCAAGGUCCAAAGAUGGUGUGCGCACUUGUCUGUGGUCAUUUCCCAUUAUAAUGAAUGGGAGGCGCAGUUUCUACCAAAACACUCGCUGCAGACAAACUACAUGUCCUAUUUGAAAAAAGUCUGGACCAUGAGUGAGGGCACAAACACAGCUAGGAUAUAUCCAAACGGCAAGUUGCUCCUCGUUACGGUGUUGCCGGGAGAGCGAUGCGAUUGAGCCAUUGAGUGAUGGGCAGGAAAAACUUGACUGUUUCUCCUGCCAUGGGGGAUGGCGGAUGGGGGGGGUGUGGAUUCUUUUAAGAAUGUGGAUAUUUGGGUCAUCUUUGGCGCCCCCUAGAACGUAAAUCGUGGGGUGCAGCGUCAUGAUUUUUACAACUUUGAAUGGCCAUGGGGUGUAGAUUGACCUGAGCAAAUUUGGUGUCAGUGGGACGAAAGCCUUAGGAGGAGUUAGCCACAUUCCAAUGUGUGCGAAUCGGCAAAAAAUGCAAAAUAGCCCUUUAACCGUACAUUUUACAGAUACGCGUGCAUUGACUUUUUCGUAGAUCUUAUUGAGACACACGUGAUUGUCAAAUUUUGUGUCAAUAUGACAAAGCGUACAGGCGUGGCACUCAACAAUAUGUAUUUUCACCUUAGGGGACAAGAAAAAAUGGACUUUUUUCUCCUGCCAUGGGGGGGCGCUCUUUUGGGGAGUAAAAAUUCCUUCACAAAUGUGUUGAUGGCUGGACAUUGCAUCAUCCUAGAGAACUUGGAGGCCAGUGAGGACAAAAAUAAAAAGUUAUAAGACUUUUAAAUAUGUGGAUUUUAGGGUUAUAUUUGGCGCCCCCUAGAACCUAAACCGUGGGGUGCAGCAUCAUGAUUUGAAUAACUUUUAAUGGCCAUGGGGUGUAGAUUGGCCUGAGCAAAUGUGGUGCCGGUGGAACAAAAGCCUUCGGAGGAGUUAGCGAAAUUCCAAUGUGUGCGCAUCGGCAAAAAAUGCGAAAUAACCCUUUAACCGUACAUUUGACAGAUACGCGCGUGUUGACUUUUUCGUAGAUCUUAUUGAGUUACAUGUGUGUGUCAAUUUUUGUGUCAUUUUGACAAAGCGUAUAGGCGUGACACUCAACAAUGUGUAUUUUCACCUUAGGGGACAAGAAAAAAUGGACUUUUUUCUCCUGCCAUGGGGGGGCGCUCUUUUGGGGAGUAAAAAUUCCUUCACAAAUGUGUUGAUGGCUGGACAUUGCAUCAUCCUAGAAAACUUGGAGGCCAGUGAGGACAAAAAUAAAAAGUUAUAAGACUUUUAAAUAUGUGGAUUUUAGUGUUAUCUUUGGCGCCCCCUAGAACCUAAACCUUGGGGUGCAGCGUCAUGAUUUUGAUAACUUUUAAUGGCCACGGGGUGUAGAUUGGCCUGAGCAAAUGUGGUGCCGGUGGAACGAAAGCCUUCGGAGGAGUUAGCGAAAUUCCAAUGUGUGCGGAUCGGCAAAAAAUGCGAAAUAACCCUUUAACCGUAAUUUUGACAGAUACGGCCGCACUGACUUUUUUGUAGAUCUUAUUGAGAUACAUAUGUGUGUCAAUUUUUGUGUCAAUAUGACAAAGCGUACAGGCGUGACAGUCAAUAGUGUGAAUUUCCACCUUAGGGGGCGCUAUGGAGCCAUUUUGCAUUUUAUUGUUUGGGCGACUUCAGAAUAUCGAAUUUUUCACCAGGCCCGGUCGUCCUGCCAAAUUUCAUGAGUUUUCGCCAGUGGGAAGUGGGCCAUUUUCCAGUUCAAAGGGGAGGAAAAAGAAGAAAGAAAGAACUAGGGCCCCGUUGGGGCACUGGCGGGCCCGAGCCGUGUCGCGCUGCCCCCCCCCCAACGCGCUGCCUCCCCGUCCCAUUCGUGUCCUCUGGCCAUCGCCCUCUCUGGUAACGCCCAUCACUGCAAAGACCCUUUCCUUCAUCAGCGUUUGCUGUUCUUCCUGCCAGUGCGUGUUGCUUUCACUUACACUUGCCACAGCCAGCCUCGUGAGUGCCUAGCCUAUUGGAUAUCACUGUCAUCUACACAGGACAGUCAUAACCUUUCUAUUAAUACUUGUUUUUUAAUUUCACAUUAAUUUCAAUAUUGUAUAAAUGACUGGAAAAAACUUGAGCCCCUGCCCCUGUAUAAUCAUGUGCACGUCCCUGUUCUAGCUCCAAGGUGAAUCUUCACUGCUCAUGUUCUCCUCAGAAGUAGUCACCUCACUCCCCUCAGGUGACUAUACACAUGCACCAACUGCCUGCUUCAGGUUUGGAUGGAGCUUCAUGGUUGUCUUUUGGAGAAAUGAGCAGUCAAGUUGUGUUUGAAAUUUGAUUUUUUUCAGGGGCAAAAAGGGGCCUCUGCAUUCUAGUCAAAUAUGUAAAUAGCAUGUUUUUGCAGGUGCUAAAAAAAGACUCUGAGUGUGUGUGUGUGUAUAUCCUGCAGUACUCUGAGAAGAAUAAUAAGCAUAUUUCUGAGGUGAAUUUUGAAGAUUCAUCUGAGAGUUAGGAGGGCUGAUCAUUCCCUUACCUUUUAGAUGUCUGUCUAUGUCUGUUUUUGUGUGAUAAUGAAAGAAUCCCAACUCAAAAAGGCUCUGUUGAUGUUUUUUUUUUGUUGUUGUUCAUUCAUAUUCAAACCACUAUUUUAUAUCACUGCUAAUACGCCAAGACCAUUUUAUGGAAUUUAGCUUUAUUAUUUCUAUACAUUUUGCAAGGAAAGAAACCAAGGCCUUCACUAAAAUUUCCAUAAACUUUAGGAAAGGACCUCUGGUUGUUUAACGGGGUCAUUACUGCAAAAACAUAUUCUUCCUAAAUUUUGAAGGUCAAACCUUAGAUCCAUUAGGUUUAAAUAGAAAAAGCAUUAAAAUAUGUUAGGAUUAUAGCAUAUGACAAAUAUGUGCCUUUCAGUGGCCACAACUACUUUGUCUGCUGGCUCUGCAGUCGAUUGACGCUCCCCAGCGUUCAAGUCACAUUACAUAUUUAACCGGAUGUAGCUGCAAGACGGAGCCUCGUUGACUCUCCGUUUCAACUUAUCUCAAAAGUGAGGACCUCAAACUAUAUACCAGUUUUUAAAUUGUGUUGAUAGGCCAAAUAAAACCAGAGUUAUGAUAAAUUAUGUCCGCGAUACUUUUUUUCUGCUUAUUUUGAUCACGUUCGGCGCUCGAUCCCGCUGUAUGAGACAGGAAAACAUAGCAUGCAGACAUUAGCGACAGCUCUUACAGGCGGAAAAGGCUUGCCAAAGGAAAAAAAAAACACACCACAACAUCUCUCCUAUUGGUGGAAAACUUCACCACAACAACCAAUCCAAAAUUAUAUGGUGACUGAUUGACAAGGGGCGGGCGCUUACGUUCUUCCUGCAACAUGAGAAGGGAGGGAGGGACUCUCAGCAGGGAUGCAGUCUGGGACACGUAGUUGCAAACCUAGCGACUUUGUUGUUAGAUUCAAUGACUUUUCAGACCCCCUAACGACUUUUUUUUAGAAAGAAAGGGACUUUUAUCGACUUCUUCUGGAGUUUAGAGACUCUGACAUGAAGCAGGCUUUCCUUACUGAGGAGUUAGCAACGCUGCUAAGGGUGCAGAGCCACACAUGCGCUCCGAGCUCUGCAUGGGAGACUGAAGCUGACAGAGCUGCAGCAGUUAGCAGGUUUCACCCUCAGAGACCACCAGGGGUUCAUGUUGAGGCAUUUUAAUUUUUUUUUUUUUGUGCCAUAGACACUGUCAGCACAAUCUGCAGUUACACUAACAAAAAUGCUGCAAAAAACAAAGAAUUAUGGAAAAAUUACACAUGGACUGACAUAGAGGAGGAUCUACACAAGUUUUUUACAUCAUGUUUUACAUCAUGCAUCAUUUACAUCAUGUUUUUUUGUAGUGGCAUAAAUAAAAAGUGACAUUUGUGAGACUAUACAGUGUUUUGUAAAUAAUUUUACAAAGAACGCCUGGGCCAUUGCCUGCAUUUUGAUGUAAAUAGAGGUAAAUAACUAUGUUCUUUGUUAAAAAUUUGCAUAUGUUUUGAAGUUUACAAUUUUUAUUUGAAGUUUAAGUUUUAAAAACAGUUCAUCACACAUAAUUGUGGUUUAAUUUCACAUUAAUUUCCAUAUUGUAUAAAUGACUGGAAAAAACUUGAGCCCCUGCCCCUGUAUAAUCAUGUGCACGUCCCUGUUCUAGCUCCAAGGUGAAUCUUCACUGCUCAUGUUCUCCUCAGAAAUAGUCACCUCACUCCCCUCAGGUUACUGUACACAUGCACCAACUAUCUGCUUCAGGUUUGGAUGGAGCCUCAUGGUUGUCUUUUGGAGAAAUGAACAGUCAAGUUGUGUUUGAAAUUUGAUUUUUUUCAGGGGCAAAAGGAAGCCUCUGCAUUCUUGUCAAAUAUGUAAACAGCAUGUUUUUGCAGGUGCUAAAAAACAGACUCUGAGUGUGUGUGUGUGUGUGUGUGUGUGUGUGUGUGUGUGUGUGUGUGUAUGUUGGCGUGUGUGUAUAUGUGUGUGUAUCCUGCAGUACUCUGUACUCCUGCAGUGGCCAAAAAGACUUUUAAGAAUGUGGAUUUUUGGGUCAUCUUUGGCGCCCCCUAGAACUGCAGUACUCUGUACUCCUGCAGUGGCCAAAAUGACUUUUAAGAAUGUGGAUUUUUGGGUCAUCUUUGGCGCCCCCUAGAACGUAAACCGUGGGGUGCAGCGUCAUGAUUUUUACAACUUUGAAUGGGCAUGGGGUGUAGAUUGCCCUGAGCAAAUUUGGUAUCGGUGGGACGAAAGCCUUAGGAGGAGAUAGCCACAUUCCAAUGUGUGCGAAUCGGCAAAAAAUGCAAAAUAGCCCUUUAACCGUACAUUAUACAGAUACGCGCUCUUUGACUUUUUCGUAGAUCUAAUUGAGAUACACAUGAUUGUCAAUUUUUGUGUCAAUAUGACAAAGCGUUCAGGCGUGACACUCAACAAUGUGUAUUUUUAUGUAAGGGGACAAGAAAAAAUUGACUUUUUUCUCCUACCAUGGGGGGGCGCUCUUUUGGGGAGUAAAAAUUCCUUCACAAAUGUGUUGAUGGCUGGACAUUGCAUCAUCCUAGAAAACUUGGAGGCCAGUGAGGACAAAAAUAAAAAGUUAUAAAACAUUUAAGAAUGUGGAUUUUUGGGUUAUUUUUGGCGCCCCCUAGAACCUAAACCAUGGGGUGCAGCAUCAUGAUUUGAAUAACUUUUAAUGGCCAUGGGGUGUAGAUUGGCCUGAGCAAAUGUGGUGCCGGUGGAACGAAAGCCUUCGGAGGAGUUAGCGAAAUUCCAAUGUGUGCGGAUCGGCAAAAAAUGCGGAAUAACCCUUUAACUGUACAUUUGACAGAUACGCGCGCAUGGACUUUUUUGUAGAUCUUAUUGAGUUACAUGUGUGUGUCAAUUUUUGUGUCAUUUUGACAAAGCGUAUAGGCGUGACACUCAACAAUGUGUAUUUUCACCUUAGGGGACAAGAAAAAAUGGACUUUUUUCUCCUGCCAUGGGGGGGCGCUCUUUUGGGGAGUAAAAAUUCCUUCACAAAUGUGUUGAUGGCUGGACAUUGCAUCAUCCUAGAAAACUUGGAGGCCAGUGAGGACAAAAAUAAAAAGUUAUAAGACUUUUAAAUAUGUGGAUUUUAGUGUUAUCUUUGGCGCCCCCUAGAACCUAAACCUUGGGGUGCAGCGUCAUGAUUUUGAUAACUUUUAAUGGCCACGGGGUGUAGAUUGGCCUGAGCAAAUGUGGUGCCGGUGGAACGAAAGCCUUCGGAGGAGUUAGCGAAAUUCCAAUGUGUGCGGAUCGGCAAAAAAUGCGAAAUAACCCUUUAACCGUAAUUUUGACAGAUACGGCCGCACUGACUUUUUUGUAGAUCUUAUUGAGAUACAUGUGUGUGUCAAUUUUUGUGUCAAUAUGACAAAGCGUACAGGCGUGACAGUCAAUAGUGUGAAUUUCCACCUUAGGGGGCGCUAUGGAGCCAUUUUGCAUUUUAUUGUUUUGGCGACUUCAGAAUAUCGAAUUUUUCACCAGGCCCUGUCGUCCUGCCAAAUUUCAUGAGUUUUCGCCAGUGGGAAGUGGGCCAUUUUCCAGUUCAAAGGGGAGGAAAAAGAAAAAAGAAAGAAAGAAACAAAGAAAAACCACUUGGGGAAUAAUAGGGCCUACGCCCGGCUGCUCUGCAGCUGGCUCGGGCCCUAAAGAACUAGGACCCCGGUGGGGCACUGUCGGGCCCGAGCCGCGUUGCGCCGCCCCCAGCGCGACCGCCUCCCCCUCCCGAUCGCGUCACACUCAAGGUCCAAAGAUGGUGUGCGCACUUGUCUGUGGUCAUUUCCCAUUAUAAUGAAUGGGAGGCGCAGUUUCUACCAAAACACUUGCUGCAGACAAACUUCAUGUCCUAUUUGAAAAAAGGCUGGACCAUGAGUGAGGGCACAAACACAGCUGGGAUAUAUCCAAAUGGCAGGUUGCUCCUCGUUACGGUGUUGCCUGGAGAGCGAUGCGAUUGAGCCAUUGAGCGAUGGGCAGGAAAAACUUGACUUUUUCUCCUGCCAUGGGGGGGGGGGGGGGGGGGGAUGUGGAUUCUUUUAAGAAUGUGGAUUUUUUGGUCAUCUUUGGCGCCCCCUAGAACGUAAACCGUGGGGUGCAGCGUCAUGAUUUGUACAACUUUGAAUGGCCAUGGGGUGUAGAUUGGCCUGAGCAAAUUUGGUUUCAGUGGGACGAAAGCCUUAGGAGGAGUUAGCCACAUUCCAAUGUGUGCGAAUCGGCAAAAAAUGCAAAAUAGCCCUCUAACCAUACAUUUGACAGAUACGCACCCAUUGACUUUUUCGUAGAUCUUAUUGAGAUACACGUGUGUGUCAAAUUUUGUGUCAAUAUGACAAAGCGUACAGGUGUCACACUCAACAAUGUGAAUUUUCACCUUACGGGACAAGAAAAAAUGGACUUUUUUCUCCUGCCAUGGGGGGGCGCUCUUUUGGGGAGUAAAAAUUCCUUCACAAAUGUGUUGAUGGCUGGACAUUGCAUCAUCCUAGAAAACUUGGAGGCCAGUGAGGACAAAAAUAAAAAGUUAUAAGACUUUGAAAUAUGUGGAUUUUAGGGUUAUCUUUGGCGCCCCCUAGAACCUAAACCGUGGGGUGCAGCGUCAUGAUUUGAAUAACUUUUAAUGGCCAUGGGGUGUAGAUUGGCCUGAGCAAAUGUGGUGCCGGUGGAACGAAAGCCUUCGGAGGAGUUAGCGAAAUUCCAAUGUGUGCGGAUCAGCAAAAAAUGCGGAAUAACCCUUUAACCGUACAUUUGACAGAUACGCCCGCACUGACUUUUUUGUAGAUCUUAUUGAGAUACAUGUGUGUGUCAAUUUUUGUGUCAUUUUGACAAAGCGUACCGGCGUGACAGUGAAUAGUGUGAAUUUUCACCUUAGGGGGCGCUAUGGAGCCAUUUUGCAUUUUCUUGUUUGGGCGACUUCGGAAUAUCAAAUUUUUCACCAGGCCCGGUCGUCCUGCCAAAUUUCAUGAGUUUUCGCCAGUGGGAAGUGGGCCAUUUUCCAGUUCAAAGGGGAGGAAAAAUAAUAACUAGGGCCCCGGUGGGGCACUGUCGGGCCCGAGCCGCGUUGCGCCGCCCCCAGCGCGACCGCCUCCCCCACCCGAUCGCGUCACACUCAAGGUCCAAAGAUGGUGUGCGCACUUGUUUGUGGUCAUUUACCAUUAUAAUGAACGGGAGGCGCAGUUUCUACCAAAACGCUCGCUGCAGAAAAACUCCAUGUCCUAUUUGAAAAAAGUCUGGACCAUGAGUGAGGGCAAAAACACAGCUAAGAUAUAUCCAAAUGGCAAGUUGCUCCUCCUUUCGCUUUUGCCGAGAGAGCAGUGCGUUUGAGCCAUUGAAUGAUGAACAGGAAAAACUUGACUUUAUUCUCCUGCCAUGGGGGGGGCGCUCUUUUAACGAGAAAAAACUCCUUCACAAAUGUGUUGAUGGCUGGACAUUGCAUCAUCCUAGAAAACAUGGAGGCCAGUGAGGACAAAAAUAAAAAGUUAUAAGACUUUUAAAUAUGUGGAUUUUAGGGUUAUCUUUGGCGCCCCCUAGAACCUAAACCGUGGGGUGCAGCGUCAUGAUUUGAAUAACUUUUAAUGGCCAUGGGGUGUAGAUUGGCCUGAGCAAAUGUGGUGCCGGUGGAACGAAAGCCUUCGGAGGAGUUAGCGAAAUUCCAAUGUGUGCGAAUCUGCAAAAAAUGCGAAAUAACCCUUUAACCGUACAUUUUACAGAUACGUGGCCAUUGACUUUUUUGAAGAUCUUAUUGAAAGACACGUGUAUGUAAAAUUUUGUGUCAAUACAACAAAACAUACAGGCGUAGCACUCAACAAUGUGUAUUUUCACCUUAGUGGACAAGAAAAAAUGGACUUUUUUCUCCUGCCAUGGGGGGGCGCUCUUUUGGCGAGUAAAAAUUCCUUCACAAAUGUGUUGAUGGCUGGACAUUGCAUCAUCCUAGAAAACUUGGAGGCCAGUGGGGACAAAAAUAAAAAGUUAUAAGACUUUUAAAUAUGUGGAUUUUACGGUUAUCUUUGGCGCCCCCUAGAACCUAAACCGUGGGGUGCAGCGUCAUGAUUUGAAUAACUUUUAAUGGCCAUGGGGUGUAGAUUGGCCUGAGAAAAUGUGGUGCCGGUGGAACGAAAGCCUUCGGAGGAGUUAGCGAAAUUCCAAUGUGUGCGGAUCGGCAAAAAAUGCGGAAUAACCCUUUAACCGUACAUUUGACAGAUACGUGCGCAUUGACUUUUUUGUAGAUCUUAUUGAGAUACAUGUGUGUCUCAAUUUUGGUGUCAUUUUGCCAAAGCGUACAGGUGUUACACUCAACAAUGUGUAUUUUCACCUUAGGGGACAAGAAAAAAUGGACUUUUUUCUCCUGCCAUGGGGGGGCGCUCUUUUGUGGAGUAAAAAUUCCUUCACAAAUGUGUUGAUGGCUGGACAUUGCAUCAUCCUAGAAAACUUGGAGGCCAGUGAGGGCAAAAAUAAAAAGUUAUAAGACUUUUAAAUAUGUGGAUCUUAGGGUUAUCUUUGGCGCCCCCUAGAACCUAAACCGUGGGGUGCAGCGUCAUGAUUUGAAUAACUUUUAAUGGCCAUGGGGUGUAGAUUGGCCUGAGCAUAUGUGGUGCCGGUGGAACGAAAGCCUUCGGAGCAGUUAGCGAAAUUCCAAUGUGUGCGGAUCGGCAAAAAAUGCGAAAUAACCCUUUAACCGUACAUUUGACAGAUACGCCCGCACUGACUUUUUUGUAGAUCUUAUUGAGAUACAUGUGUGUGUCAAUUUUUGUGUCAUUUUGACAAAGCGUACAGGCGUGACAGUCAAUAGUGUGAAUUUUCACCUUAGGGGGCGCUAUGGAGCCAUUUUGCAUUUUCUUGUUUGGGCGACUUCGGAAUAUCAAAUUUUUCACCAGGCCCAGUCGUCCUGCCAAAUUUCAUGAGUUUUCGCCAGUGGGAAGUGGGCCAUUUUCCAGUUCAAAGGGGAGGAAAAAUAAUAACUAGGACCCCGUUGGGGCACUGGCGGGCCCGAGCCGUGUCGCCCCCCCCCCAACGCGCUGCCUCCCCGUCCCAUUUGUGUCCUCUGGCCAUCGCCCUCUCUGGUAACGCCCAUCACUGCAAAGACCCUUUUCCUUCAUCGGCGUUUGCUGUUCUUCCUGCCAGUGCGUGUUGCUUUCACUUACACUUGCCACAGCCAGCCUCGUGAGUGCCUAGCCUAUUGGAUAUCACUGUCACCUACACAGGACAGUCAUUACCUUUCUAUUAAUACUUUGUGUUUUAAUUUCACAUUAAUUUCCAUAUUGUAUAAACGACUGGAAAAAACUUGAGCCCCUGCCCCUGUAUAAUCAUGUGCAUGUCUCUGUUCUAGCUCCAAGGUGAAUCUUCACUGCUCAUGUUCUCCUCAGAAAUAGUCACCUCACUCCCCUCAGGUUACUGUACACAUGCACCAACUAUCUGCUUCAGGUUUGAAAUGGAGCUUCAUGGUUGUCUUUUGGAGAAAUGAACAGUCAAGUUGUGUUUGAAAUUUGAUUUUUUUCAGGGGCAAAAGGAAGCCUCUGCAUUCUUGUCAAAUAUGUAACAGCAUGUUUUUGCAGGUGCUAAAAAACAGACUCUGAGUGUGUGUGUGUGUGUGUGUGUGUGUGUGUGUGUGUGUGUGUGUGUGUGUGUGUGUGUGUGUAUGUUGGCGUGUGUGUAUAUGUGUGUGUAUCCUGCAGUACUCUGUACUCCUGCAGUGGCCAAAAAGACUUUUAAGAAUGUGGAUUUUUGGGUCAUCUUUGGCGCCCCCUAGAACUGCAGUACUCUGUACUCCUGCAAUGGCCAAAAUGACUUUUAAGAAUGUGGAUUUUUGGGUCAUCUUUGGCGCCCCCUAGAACGUAAACCGUGGGGUGCAGCGUCAUGAUUUUUACAACUUUGAAUGGGCAUGGGGUGUAGAUUGCCCUGAGCAAAUUUGGUAUCGGUGGGACGAAAGCCUUAGGAGGAGAUAGCCACAUUCCAAUGUGUGCGAAUCGGCAAAAAAUGCAAAAUAGCCCUUUAACCGUACAUUAUACAGAUACGCGCUCUUUGACUUUUUCGUAGAUCUAAUUGAGAUACACAUGAUUGUCAAAUUUUGUGUCAAUAUGACAAAGCGUACAGGUAUGACAGUCAACAAUGUGUUUUUUCACCUUAUGGGACAAGAAAAAAUGGACUUUUUUCUCCUGCCAUGGGGGGGGGCGCUCUUUUGGGGAGUAAAAAUUCCUUCACAAAUGUGUUGAUGGCUGGACAUUGCAUCAUCCUAGAAAACUUGGAGGCCAGUGAGGACAAAAAUAAAAAGUUAUAAGACUUUGAAAUAUGUGGAUUUUAGGGUUAUCUUUGGCGCCCCCUAGAACCUAAACCGUGGGGUGCAGCGUCAUGAUUUGAAUAACUUUUAAUGGCCAUGGGGUGUAGAUUGGCCUGAGCAAAUGUGGUGCCGGUGGAACGCCAGCCUUAGGAGGAGUUAGCGAAAUUCCAAUGUGUGCGGAUCAGCAAAAAAUGCGGAAUAACCCUUUAACCGUACAUUUGACAGAUACGCGUGCAUUGACUUUUUCGUAGAUCUUAUUGAGAUACAUGUGUGUGUCAAAUUUUGUGUCAAUAUGACAAAGCGUACAGGCGUGACACUCAACAAUGUGUAUUUUCACCUUAGGGGACAAGAAAAAAUGGACUUUCUUCUCCUGCCAUGUGGGGGCGCUCUUUUGGGGAUUAAAAAUUCCUUCACAAAUGUGUUGAUGGCUGGACAUUGCAUCAUCCUAGAAAACUUGGAGGCCAGUGAGGGCAAAAAUAAAAAGUUAUAAGACUUUUAAAUAUGUGGAUUUUAGUGUUAUUUUUGGCGCCCCCUAGAACCUAAACCUUGGGGUGCAGCGUCAUGAUUUGAAUAACUUUUAAUGGCCAUGGGGUGUAGAUUGGCCUGAGCAAAUGUGGUGCCGGUGGAACGAAAGCCUUCGGAGGAGUUAGCGAAAUUCCAAUGUGUGCGGAUCGGCAAAAAAUGCGAAAUAACCCUUUAACCGUAAAUUUGACAGAUACGCCCGCACUGACUUUUUUGUAGAUCUUAUUGAGAUACAUGUGUGUGUCAAUUUUUGUGUCAUUUUGACAAAGCGUACAGGCGUGACAGUCAAUAGUGUGAAUUUUCACCUUAGGGGGCGCUAUGGAGCCAUUUUGCAUUUUAUUGUUUGGGCGACUUCAGAAUAUCAAAUUUUUCACCAGGCCCGGUCGUCCUGCCAAAUUUCAUGAGUUUUCGCCAGUGGGAAGUGGGCCAUUUUCCAGUUCAAAGGGGAGGAAAAAUAAUAAUAAUUAGGGGGCGCUAUGGAGCCAUUUUGCAUUUUAUUGUUUGGGCGACUUCAGAAUAUCGAAUUUUUCACCAGGCCCGGUCGUCCUGCCAAAUUUCAUGAGUUUUCGCCAGUGGGAAGUGGGCCAUUUUCCAGUUCAAAGGGGAGGAAAAAGAAGAAAGAAAGAAAGAAAGAAAGAAAGAAAGAAAGAAACAAAGAAAAACCACUUGGGGAAUAAUAGGGCUCUCGCAGCUGCUUAGCAGCUACGCUCGGGCCCUAAUAAUAAUAACAAAAGAAGGAAACAUGCAGGAACAAGAGGGCUCUCGCAGCUGCUUAGCAGCUACGCUCGGGCCCUAAUAAUAAUAAUAACAAAAGAAGGAAACAUGCAGGAACAAGAGGGCUCUCGCAGCUGCUUAGCAGCUACGCUCGGGCCCUAAAGAAACAAAGAAAAACCACUUGGGGAAUAAUAGGGCUCUCGCAGCUGCUUAGCAGCUACGCUCGGGCCCUAAUAAUAAUAACAAAAGAAGAAUCCAUCAGGAACAAGAGGGCUCUCGCAGCUGCUUAGCAGCUACGCUCGGGCCCUAAAGAAGGAAACAUGCAGGAACAAGAGGGCUCUCGCAGCUGCUUAGCAGCUACGCUCGGGCCCUAAAGAAGAAUCCAUCAGGAACAAGAGGGCUCUCGCAGCUGCUUAGCAGCUACGCUCGGGCCCUAAAAAGAAGGAAACAUGCAGGAACAAGAGGGCUCUCGCAGCUGCCCUGCCCCUGUAUAAUCAUGUGCCCGUCUCUGUUCUAGCUCCAAGGUGAAUCUUCACUGCUCAUGUUCUCCUCAGAAGCAGUCACCUCACUCCCCUCAGGUUAUUGUACACAUGCACCAACUGCCUGCUUCAGGUUUGGAUGGAGCUUCAUGGUUGUCUUUUGGAGAAAUGACCAGUCAAGUUGUGUUUGAAAUUUGAUUUUUUCAGGGGCAAAAGGAGCCUCUGCAUUCUUGUCAAAUAUGUAAAUAGCAUGUUUUUGCAGGUGCUAAAAACCAGACUCUGAGUGUGUGUGUGUGUGUGUGUGUGCGUGUGUGUGUGUGUGUGUGCGUUCAAGUCACAUGACAUAUUUAACCGGAUGUAGCUGCAAGACGGAGCCUCGUUGACUCUCCGUUUCAACUUAUCUCAAAAGUGAGGACCUCAACCUAUAUACCAGUUUUUAAAUUGUGUUGAUAGGCCAAAUAAAACCAGAGUUAUGAUAAAUUAUGUCCGCAAUACUUUUUUUCUGCUUAUUUUGAUCACGUUCGGCGCUCGAUCGCGCUGUAUGAGACAGGAAAACAUAGCAUGCAGACAUUAGCGACAGGUCUUACAGGCAGAAAAGGCUUGCCAAAGGAAAAAAACACACCACAACAUCUCUCCUAUUGGUGGAAAACUUCACCACAACAACCAAUCCAAAAUUAUAUGGUGACUGAUUGACAAGGGGCGGGCGCUUACGUUCUUCCUGCAAUAUGAGAAGGGAGGGAGGGACUCUCAGCAGGGAUGCAGUCUGGGACACGUAGUUGCAAACCUAGCGACUUUGUUGUUAGAUUCAAUGACUUUUCAGACCCCCUAACGACUUUUUCUUAGAAAGAAAGGGACUUUUAUCGACUUCUUCUGGAGUUUAGAGACUCUGACAUGAAGCAGGCUUUCCUUACUGAGGAGUUAGCAACGCUGCUAAGGGUGCAGAGCCACACAUGCGCUCCGAGCUCUGCAUGGGAGACUGAAGCUGACAGAGCUGCAGCAGUUAGCAGGUUUCACCCUCAGAGACCACCAGGGGUUCAUGUUGAGGCAUUUUCAGUUUUUUUUUUUUUUUGUGCCAUAGACACUGUCAGCACAAUCUGCAGUUACACUAACAAAAAUGCUGCAAAAAACAAAGAAUUAUGGAAAAAUUACACAUGGACUGACAUAGAGGAGGAUCUACACAAGUUUUUUACAUCAUGUUUUACAUCAUGCAUCAUUUACAUCAUGUUUUUUUGUAGUGGCAUAAAUAAAAAGUGACAUUUGUGAGACUAUACAGUGUUUUGUAAAUAAUUUUACAAAGAACGCCUGGGCCAUUGCCUGCAUUUUGAUGUAAAUAGAGGUAAAUUACUAUGUUCUUUGUUAAAAAUUUGCAUAUGUUUUGAAGUUUACAAUUUUUAUUUGAAGUUUAAGUUUUAAAAACAGUUCAUCACACAUAUUUGUGGUUUUCACAGUAAAAACGUUACUUUUUUCCACUCGGAUUUUAUGUUUUGUGUGUGAAUUUGGGUCCAAUGUGUAAAUAUAGUAUGUCAAAAUGAUAAAAUAACUGUAAAUUGACACAGGUGAGGUUGUGCUGAAAAAAAUGAUACCAGGCAAGGCAAGGUAAAAAUUUUGUAAGAGGAAAUAUAAAGGUAAAAUCUAAAGUAGUCAAAAACGGCCAAUAGUGACUCACAGACUCCACAGACAAGUCCCUUUGGCGCCACUCAGUGGGCAAAACUACUUUGUCUACUGUAAUGAAUAUUUGGGUCAUCUUUGGCGCCCCCUAAAACGUAAACCGUGGGGUGCAGCGUCAUGAUUUUUACAACUUUGAAUGGCCAUGGAGUGUAGAUUGGCCUGAGCAAAUUUGGUGUCAGUGGGACGAAAGCCUUAGGAGGACUUAGCGAAAUUCCAAUGUGUGCGAAUCGCCAAAAAAUGCAAAAUAGCCCUUUAACUGUACAUUUUACACUUACGUGCCCAUUGACUUUUUCAUAAAUCUUAUUGAGAUACACGUGAUAGUCAAAUUUUUUGUCAAUAUGACAAAGCGUAAAGGCAUGACACUCAACAACGUGUAUUUUCACCUUUCGGGAUAAGAAAAAAUGGACUUUUUUCUCCUGCCAUGGGGGGGCGCUCUUUUGGGGAGUAAAAAUUUCUUCACAAAUGUGUUGAUGGCUGGACAUUGCAUCAUCCUAAAAAACUUGGAGGCCAGUAUGGAAAAAAAUAAAAAGUUAAAAGACUUUUAAGAAUGUGGAUUUUUGGGUUAUAUUUGGUGCCCCCUAGAACCCAAACCGUGAGGUGCAGCAAGAUGAUUUGUACAACUUUUAAUGGCCAUGGGGUGUAGAUUGGCCUGAGCAAAUUUGGUGCCGGUGGAAAGAUAGCCUUCGGAGGAGUUAGCGAAAUUCAAAUGUGUGCGGAUCGGCAAAAAAUGCAAAAUAGCCCUUUAACCGUACAUUUGACAGAUACAUGCCCUUUGACUUUUUCGUAGAUCUUAUUGAGAUACACGUGAUUGUCAAAUUUUGUGUCAAUAUGACAAAGCAUACAGGCGUGACACUCGACAAUGUGUAUUUUCACCUUAGGAGACAAGAAAAAAUGGACCUUUUUCUCCUGCCAUUGGGGGGCGCUCUUUUGGGGAGUAAAAAUUCCUUCACAAAUGUGUUGAUGGCUGGACAUUGCAUCAUCCUAGAAAACUUGGAGGCCAGUGAGGACAAAAGUAAAAAGUUAUAAGACUUUUAAGAAUGUGGAUUUUUGGGUUAUCUCUGGCGCCCCCUAGAACGUAAACCGUGGGGUGCAGCGUCAUGAUUUGAAUAACUUUUAAUGGCCAUGGGGGGUAGAUUGGCCUGAGCAAAUGUGGUGCCGGUCGAACGAAAGCCUUCAGAGGAGUUAGCGAAAUUCCAAUGUGUGCAGAUCUGCAAAAAAUGCAAAAUAACCCAUUAACCGUACAUUUGACAGAUACGCCCGUACUGACUUUUUUGUAGAUCUUAUUGAGAUACAUUUGUGUGUCAAUUUUUGUGUCAAUAUGACAAAGCGUACAGCCGUCAUGUGAAUUUUCACCUUAGGGGGCGCUAUGGAGCCAUUUUGCAUUUUAUUGUUUGGGCGACUUCAGAAUAUCAAAUUAUUCACGAGGCCCGGUCGUCCUGCCAAAUUUCCUGAGUUUUCGCUAGUGGGAAGUGGGCCAUUUUCCAGUUUAAAGCGGAGGAAAAAUAAUAACAAACUAGGGCCCCGGUGGGGCACUGUCGGGCCCGAGCCGCGUCGCGCCGCCCCCAGCGCGACCGCCUCCCCCUCCCGAUCGCGUCACACUCAAGGUCCAAAGAUGGUGUGCGCACUUGUCUGUGGUCAUUUCCCAUUAUAAUGAAUGGGAGGCACAGUUUCUACCAAAACACUCGCUGCAGACAAACUUCAUGUCCUAUUUGAAAAAAGUCUGGACCAUGAGUGAGGGCACAAACACAGCUAGGAUAUAUCCAAAUGGCAGGUUGCUCCUCCUUACGGUGUUGCCGGGAGAGCGAUGCGAUUGAGCCAUUGAGCGAUGGGCAGGGUUAACUUGACUUUUUCUCCUGCCUUGGGGGGGGGGGGGGGUUCAUUUAAGAAUGUGGAUAUUUGGGUCAUAUUUGGCGCCCCCUAGAACGUAAACCGUGGGGUGCAGCGUCAUGAUUUGAGUAACUUUUAAUGGCCAUGGGGUGUAGAUUGGCCUGAGCAAAUGUGGUGCCGGUGGAACGAAAGCCUUCGGAGGAGUUAGCGAAAUUCCAAUGUGUGCGGAUCGGCAAAAAAUGCGAAAUAGCUCUUUAACCGUACAUUAUACAGAUACGCGCGCAUUGACUUUUUCGAAGAUCUUAUUGAGAUACACGUGAUUGUCAAAUUUUGUGUCAAUAUGACAAAGCGAUAGGUGUCACACUCAACAAUGUGAAUUUUCACCUUAGGCGACAAGAAAAAAUGGACUUUUUUCUCCUGCCAUGGGGGGGGGGGCGCUCUUUUGGGGAGUAAAAAUUCCUUCACAAAUGUGUUGAUGGCUGGACAUUGCAUCAUCCUAGAAAACUUGGAGGCCAGUGAGGACAAAAAUAAAAAGGUAUAAGACUUUUAAAUAUGUGGAUUUUAGGGUUAUCUUUGGCGCCCCCUAGAACCUAAACCGUGGGGUGCAGCGUUAUGAUUUGAAUAACUUUUAAUGGCCAUGGGGUGUAGAUUGGCCUGAGCAAAUGUGUUGCUGGUGGAACGAAAGCCUUCGGAGGAGUUAGCGAAAUUCCAAUGUGUGCAGAUCGGCAAAAAAUGCGGAAUAACCCUUUAACUGUACAUUUUACAGAUACGCCCGCAUUGACUUUUUUGUAGAUCUUAUUGAGAUACAUGUGUGUGUCAAUUUUUGUGUCAUUUUGCCAAAGCGUAGAGGCGUGACACUCAACAAUGUGUAUUUUCACCUUAGGCGACAAGAAAAAAUGGACUUUUUUCUCCUGCCAUGGGGGGGCGCUCUUUUGGGGAGUAAAAAUUCCUUCACAAAUGUGUUGAUGGCUGGACAUUGCAUCAUCCUAGAAAACUUGAAGGCCAGUGAGGACAAAAAUAAAAAGUUAUAAGUCUUUUAAAUAUGUGGAUUUUAGGGUUAUCUUUGGCGCCACCUAGAACGUGAACCGUGGGGUGCAGCGUCAUGAUUUGAAUAACUUUUAAUGGCCAUGGGGUGUAGAUUGGCCUGAGCAAAUGUGGUGCCGGUGGUACAAAAGCCUUCGGAGGAGUUAGCGAAAUUCCAAUGUGUGCGGAUCGGCAAAAAAUGCGAAAUAACCCUUUAACCGUACAUUUGACAGAUACGCCCGUACUGACUUUUUUGUAGAUCUUAUUGAGAUACAUGUGUGUGUCAAUUUUUGUGUCAUUUUGACAAAGCGUUCAGGCGUGACACUCAACAAUGUGUAUUUUCAUGUAAGGGGACAAGAAAAAACUAGGGCCCCGUUGGGGCACUGGCGGGCUCGAGCUGUGUCCCCCCCCCCCCCCAACGCGCUGCCUCCCCGUCCCAUUCGCGUCCUCUGGCCAUCGUCCUCUCUGGUAAUGCCCAUCACUGCAAAGACCCUUUUCCUUCAUCGGCGUUUGCUGUUCUUCCUGCCAGUGCGUGUUGCUUUCACUUACACUUGCCACAGCCAGCCUCGUGAGUGCCUAGCCUAUUGGAUAUCACUGUCACCUACACAGGACAGUCGUUAUCUUUCUAUUAAUACUUUGUUUUUUAAUUUCACAUUAAUUUCCAUAAUGUCUAAACGACUGGAAAAAACUUGAGCCCCUGCCCCUGUAUAAUCAUGUGCACGUCCCUGUUCUAGCUCCAAGGUGAAUCUUCACUGCUCAUGUUCUCCUCAGAAGCAGUCACCUCACUCCCCUCAGGUUACUGUACACAUGCACCAACUGCCUGCUUCAGGUUUGGAUGGAGCUUCAUGGUUGUCUUUUGGAGAAAUGAGCAGUCAAGUUGUGUUUGAAAUUUCAUUUUUUUCAGGGGCAAAAGGAAGCCUCUGCAUUGUUGUCAAAUAUGUAAAUAGCAUGUUUUUGCAGGUGCUAAAAAACAGACUCUGAGUGUGUGUGUGUGUGUGUGUGUGUGUGUGUCUGUGUGUCUGUGUGUGUGUAUCCUGCAGUACUCUGUACUCCUGCAGUGGCCAAAACGACUUUUAAGAAUGUGGAUAUUUGGGUCAUCUUUGGCGCCCCCUAGAACGUAAACCAUGGGGUGCAGCGGCAUGAUUUUUACAACUUUGAAUGGCCAUGGGGUGUAGAUUGGCCUGAGCAAAUUUGGUGUCAGUGGGACGAAAGCCUUAGGAGGAGUUAGCCACAUUCCAAUGUGUGCGAAUCGGCAAAAAAUGCAAUAUAGCCCUUUAGCCGUACAUUUUACAGAUACGCGCUCAUUGACUUUUUCAUAGAUCUUAUUGAGAUACACGUGUGUGUCAAAUUUUUUGUCAAUAUGACAAAGUGUACAGGCGUGAAUCUCAACAAUGUGUAUUUUCACCUUAGGGGACAAGAAAAAAUUGACUUUUUUCUCCUGCCAUGGGGGGGCGCUCUUUUGGGAAGUAAAAAUUCCUUCACAAAUGUGUUGAUGGCUGGACAUUGCAUCAUCCUAGAAAACUUGGAGGCCAGUGAGGACAAAAAAAAAAGUUAUAAAACUUUUAAGAAUGUGGAUGUUAGGGUUAUUUUUGGCGCCCCCUAGAACCUAAACCAUGGGGUGCAGCAUCAUGAUUUGUACAACUUUGAAUGGCCAUGGAGUGUAGAUUGGCCUGAGCAAAUGUGGUGCCGGUGAACCGAAAGCCUUCGGAGGAGUUAGCGAAAUUCCAAUGUGUGCGGAUCUGCAAAAAAUGCGAAAUAACCCUUUAACCGUACAUUUGACAGAUACGCCCGCACUGACUUUUUUGUAGAUCUUAUUGAGAUACAUAUGUGUGUCAAUUUUUGUGUCAAUAUGACAAAGCAUACAGGCGUGACAGUCAAUAGUGUGAAUUUUCACCUUAGGGGGCGCUAUGGAGCCAUUUUGUAUUUUAUUGUUUGGGCGACUUCAGAAUAUCGAAUUUUUCACCAGGCCCGGUCGUCCUGCCAAAUUUCCUGAGUUUUCGCCAGUGGGAAGUGGGCCAUUUUCCAGUUUAAAGCGGAGGAAAAAUAAUAAUAAUAAUAACACUAGGGCCCCGUUGGGGCACUGGCGGGCCCGAGCCGUGUCGCGCCGCCCCCAACACGACCGCCUCUCCCUACCAAUCGCGUCACACUCAAGGUCCAAAGAUGGUGUGCGCACUUGUCUGUGGUCAUUUACAAUUAUAAUGAAUGGGAGGCGCAGUUUCUACCAAAACGCUCGCCGCAGACAAACUACAUGUCCUAUUUGAAAAGGACUGGACCAUGAGUGAGGGCACAAACACAGCUAGGAUAUAUCCAAAUGGCAAGUUGCUCCUCCUUUCGGUUUUGCCGAGAGAGCGAUGUGUUUGAGUCAUUGAGCGAUGGGCAGGAAAAACUUGACUUUUUCUCCUGCCAUGGGGGGACGCUCUUUUAGGGAGUAAAAAUUCCUUCACAAAUGUGUUGAUGGCUAGACAUUGCAUUAUCCUAGAAAACUUGGAGGCCAGUGAGGACAAAAAUAAAAAGUUAUAAGACUUUUAAGAAUGUGGAUUUUUGGGUUAUCUUUGGCGCCCCCUAGAACAUAAACCGUGGGGUGCAGCGUCAUGAUUUUUACAACUUUGAAUGGCCAUGGGGUGUAGAUUGGCCUGAGUAAAUUUGGUGUCAGUGGAACGAAAGCUUUAGGAGGAGUUAGCCACAUUCCAAUGUGUGCGAAUCAACCAAAAAUGCGAAAUAGCCCUUUAACCGUACAUUUUACAGAUACGCGCCCAUUGACUAUUUCGUAGAUCUUAUUGAGAAACACGUGAUUGUCAAAGUUUGUUUCAAUAUGACAAAGCGUACAGGCGUGACACUCAAUAAGGUGAAUUUUCACCUUAGGGGGGAAGAAAAACUGGACUUUUUUCUCCUGCCAUGGGGGGGGCGCUCUUUUGGGGAGUAAAAAUUCCUUCACAAAUGUGUUGAUGGCUAGACAUUGCAUCAUCCUAGAAAACUUGGAGGCCAGUGAGGACAAAAAUAAAAAGUUAUACGACUUUUAAGAAUGUGGAUUUCUGGGUUAUCUUUGGCGCCCCCUAGAACGUAAACCGUGGGAUGCAGCGUCAUGAUUUGUACAACUUUUAAUGGCCAUGGGGUGUAGAUUGGCCUAAGCAAAUUUGGUGCCGGUGGAACGAAAGCCUUCAGAGGAGUUAGCGAAAUUCCAAUGUGUGCGGAUCGGAAAAAAAUGCGAAAUAGCCCUUUAACCGUACAUUUGACAGAUACGCCCGCACUGACUUUUUUGUAGAUCUUAUUGAGAUACACGUGUGUGUCAAAUUUUGUGUCAUUUUGACAAAGCGUACAGGCGUGACACUCAAUCAUGUGAAUUUUCACCUUAGGGGACAAGAAAAAAAUGACUUUUUUCUCCUGCCAUGGGGGGGCGCUCUUUUGGGGAGAAAAAAUUCCUUCACAAAUGUGUUGAUGGCUGGACAUUGCAUCAUCCUAGAAAACUUGGAGGCCAGUGAGGGCAAAAACAAAAAGUUAUAAGACUUUUAAAUAUGAAGAUUUUAGGGUUAUCUUUGGCGCCCCCUAGAACUCAAACCGUGGGGUGCAGCGUCAUGAUUUGAAUAACUAUUAAUGGCCAUAGGGUGUAGAUUGGCCUGAGCAAAUGUUGUGCCGGUGGAACGAAAGCCUACGGAGGAGUUAGCGAAAUUCCAAUGUGUGCGGAUCGCCAAAAAAUGCGGAAUAACCCUUUAACCGUACAUUUGACAGAUACAUCCGCACUGACUUUUUUGUAGAUCUUAUUGAGAUACAUGUGUGUGUCAAUUUUUGUGUCAUUUUGACAAAGCGUACAGGCGUGACAGUGCAUAGUGUGAGUUUUCACCUUAGGGGGCGCUAUGGAGCCAUUUUGCAUUUUAUUGUUUGGGCGACUUCAGAAUAUAAAGUUUUUCACCAGGCCCGGUCGUCCUGCCAAAUUUCAUGAGUUUUCGCCAGUGGGAAGUGGGCCAUUUUCCAGUUCAAAGGGGAGGAAAAAGAAGAAAGAAAGAAAGAAAGAACUAGGGCCCCGGUGGGGCACUGUCGGGCCCAAGUCGCGUCGCGCCGCCCCCAGCGCGACCGCCUCCCCCCCCGAUCGCGUCACACUCAAGGUCCAAAGAUGGUGUGCGCACUUGUCUGUGGUCAUUUCCCAUUAUAAUGAAUGGGAGGCGCAGUUUCUACCAAAACGGUCGCUGCAGACAAACUACAUGUCCUAUUUGAAAAAAGUCUGGACCAUGAGUGAGGGCACAAACACAGCUAGGAUAUAUCCAAAUGGCAAGUUGCUCCUCCUUACGGUGUUGCCGGGAGAGCGAUGCGAUUGAGCCAUUGAGCGAUGGAAAGGGUUAACUUGACUUUUUCUCCUGCCUUGGGGGGGGGGGGGGGUGGAUUCUUUUAAGAAUGUGGAUAUUUGGGUCAUCCUUGGCGCCCCCUAGAACGUAAACCGUGGGGUGCAGCGUCAUGAUUUUUACAACUUUGAAUGGCCAUGGGAUGUAGAUCGGCUUGAGCAAAUUUGGUGUCGGUGGGACGAAAGCCUUAGGAGGAGUUAGCCACAUUCCAAUGUGUGCGGAUCGGCAAAAAAUGCGGAAUAACCCUUUAACUGUACAUUUUACAGAUACGCCCGCAUUGACUUUUUCAUAGAUCUUAUUGAGAUACACGUGAUUGUUAAAUUUUGUGUCAAUAUGACAAAGCGUACAGGCGUGAAUCUCAACAAUGUGUUUUUUCACCUUAGGGGACAAGAAAAAAUUGACUUUUUUGUCCUGCCAUGGGGGGGCGCUCUUUUGGGGAGUAAAAAUUCCUUCACAAAUGUGUUGAUGGCUGGACAUUGCAUCAUCCUAGAAACCUUGGAGGCCAGUGAGGACAAAAAUAAAAAGUUAUAAGACUUUUAAGAAUGUGGAUUUUUGGGUUAUCUUUGGCGCCCCCUAGAACGUAAAUCGUGGCGUGUAGCACCAUGAUUUGUACAACUUUUAAUGGCCAUGGGGUGUAGAUUGGCCUGAGCAAAUUUGGUGCCGGUGGAACGAAAGCUUUAGGAGGAGUUAGCGAAAUUCCAAUGUGUGCGGAUCGGCAAAAAAUGCGAAAUAGCCCUUUAACCGUACAUUUGUCAGAUACGCCCGCAUUAAUUUUUUUGUAGAUCUUAUUGAGAUACACGUGUGUGUCAGAUUUUGUGUCAUUUUGACAAAGCGUACAGGUGUGACACUCAAUCAUGUGAAUUUUUCACCUUAGGGGGCGCUAUAGAGCCAUUUUGCAUUUGAUUGUUUGGGCGACUUCAGAAUAUCGAAUAUUUCACCAGGCCCGGUCGUCCUGCCAAAUUUCAUGAGUUUUCACCAAUGGGAAGUGGGCCAUGCCCCCCCCCCCAUGGCAGGAGAAAAAAGUCCAUUUUUUUCUUGUCCACUAAGGUGAAAAUACACAUUGUUGAGUGCUACGCCUGUAUGUUUUGUCAAAAUGACACAAAAUUCGACACACACGUGUAUCUCAAUAAGAUCUACAAAAAAGUCAAUGCGGGCGUAUCUGUCAAAUGUACGGUUAAAGGGCUAUUUCGCAUUUUUUGCCGAUUCGCACACAUUGGAAUGUGGCUAACUCCUCCUAAGGCUUUCGUCCCACUGACACCAAAUUUGCUCAGGCCAAUCUACACCCCAUGGCUAUUCAAAGUUGUAAAAAUCAUGACGCUGCACCCCACGGUUUACGCUCUAGGGGGCGCCUAGAGCACAACCUCACCUGUGUGAAUUUACAGUUAUUUUAUCAAAAUCAUUUUGUCAAAAUGACACAAAAUUCAACACACACGUGUAUCUCAAUAAGAUCUACGAAAAAGUAAAUGCAGGCAUAUCUGUCAAAUGUACGGUUAAAGGGCUAUUUCGCAUUUUUUGCCGAUUCGCACACAUUGGAAUGUAGCUAACUCCUCCGAAGGCUUUCGCUCCACCGGCACCAAAUUUGCUCAGGCCAAUCUACACCCCAUGGCCAUUCAAAGUUGUAAAAAUCAUGAUGCUGCACCCCACGGUUUAAGUUCUAGGGGGCGCCAAAGAUGACCCAAAUAUCCAUAUUCUUAAAAGUGUUAUAACAUUUUAUUUUUGUCCUCACUGGCCUCCAUGUUUUCUAGGAUGAUGCAAUGUCCAGCCAUCAACACAUUUGUGAAGGAGUUUUUUCUCGUUAAAAGAGCGCCCCCCAUGGCAGGAGAAUAAAGUCAAGUUUUUCCUGUUCAUCGUUCAAUGGCUCAAACGCAUCGCUCUCUCGGCAAAAGCGAAAGGAGGAGCAACUUGCCAUUUGGAUAUAUCUUAGCUGUGUUUGUGCCCUCACUCAUGGUCCAGACUUUUUUCAAAUAGGACAUGGAGUUUUUCUGCAGCGAGCGUUUUGGUAGAAACUGCGCCUCCCAUUCAUUAUAAUGGUAAAUGACCACAGACAAGUGCGCACACCAUCUUUGGACCUUGAGUGUGACGCGAUUGGGGGGGGGAGGCGGUCGCGCUGGGGGCGGCGCGACACGGCUCGGGCCCGCCAGUGCCCCACCGGGGCCCUAGUUAUUAUUUUUCCUCCGCUUUAAACUGGAAAAUGGCCCACUUCCCACUGGCAAAAACUCAUGAAAUUAGGCAGGACGACCGGGCCUGGUGAAAAAUUCGAUAUUCUGAAGUCGCCCAAACAAUAAAAUGCAAAAUGGCUCCAUAGCGCCCCCUAAGGUGAAAAUUCACACUAUUGAUUGUCACGCCUUAACGCUUUGUCAUAUUGACACAAAAAUUGACACACACAUGUAUCUCAAUAAGAUCUACAAAAAAGUCAGUGCGGGCGUAUCUGUCAAAUGUACGGUUAAAGGGUUUUUUCGCAUUUUUUGCCGAUCCGCACACAUUGGAAUUUCGCUAACUCCUCCGAAGGCUUUCGUUCCACCGGCACCACAUUUGCUCAGGCCAAUCUACACCCCAUGGCCAUUAAAAGUUGUACAAAUCAUGACGCUGCACCCCACGGUUUACGUUCUAGGGGGCGCCAAAGAUAACCCAAAAAUCCACAGUCUUAAAAGUCUUAUAACUUUUUAUUUUUGUCCUCACUGGCCUCCAAGUUUUCUAGGAUGAUGCAAUGUCCAGCCAUCAACACAUUUGUGAAGGAAUUUUUACUCCCCAAAAGAGCGCCCCCCAUGGCAGGAGAAAAAAGUCCAUUUUUUCUUGUCCCAUAAGGUGAAAAUACACAUUGUUGAGUGUCACGCCUGUACGCUUUGUCAUAUUGAAACAAAAUUUGACAAUCACGUGUAUCUCAAUAAGAUCUACGAAAAAGUCAAUGCGCACGUAUCUGUAAAAUGUACGGUUUAAGGGCUAUUACGCAUUUUUGAUCGAUUCGCACACAUUGGAAUGUGGCUAACUCCUCCUAAAGCUUUCGUUCCACCGGCACCACAUUUGCUCAGGCCAAUCUACACCCCAUGGCCAUUAAAAGUUGUACAAAUCAUGACGCUGCACCCCACGGUUUACGUUCUAGGGGGCGCCAAAGGUAACCCAAAAAUCCACAUUCUUAAAAGUCUUAUAACUUUUCAUUUUUGUCCUCACUGGCUUCCAAGUUUUCUAGGAUGAUGCAAUGUCCAGCCAUCAACACAUUUGUGAAGGAAUUUUUACUCCCCAAAAGAGCACCCCCCCCCCAUGGCAGGAGAAAAAGUCAAGUUUUUCCUGCCCAUCGCUCAAUGGCUCAAACACAUGUCAUGUGUUCAAACUCCUCCGAAAGGAGGAGCAACUUGCCAUUUGGAUAUAUCCUAGCUGUGUUUGUGCCCUCACUCAUGGAUCAGACUUUUUUCAAAUAGGACAUGUAGUUUGUCUGCAGCGAGUGUUUUGGUAGAAACUGCGCCUCCCAUUCAUUAUAAUGGGAAAUGACCACAGACAAGUGCGCACACCAUCUUUGGACCUUGAGAGUGACGCGAUCGGGAGGGGGAGGAGGUCGCGCUGGGGGCGGCGCAACGCGGCUCGGGCCCGACAGUGCCCCACCGGGGCCCUAGUUCUUCUUAUUUUUCCUCCCCUUUGAAGGGGAAAAUGGCCCACUUCCCACUGGCGAAAACUCAUGAAAUUUGGCAGGACGACCGGGCCUGGUGAAAAAUUCGAUAUUCUGAAGUCGCCCAAACAAUAAAAUGCAAAAUGGCUCCAUAGCGCCCCCUAAGGUGAAAAUUUACACUAUUGACUGUCACGCCUGUACGCUUUGUCAUAUUGACACAAAAUUUGACACACACAUGUAUCUCAAUAAGAUCUACAAAAAAAUCAGUGCGGGCGUAUCUAUCAAAUGUACGGUUAAAGGGUUAUUUCGCAUUUUUUGCCGAUCCGCACACAUUGGAAUUUCGCUAACUCCUCCGAAGGCUUUCGUUCCACCGGCACCACAUUUGCUCAGGCCAAUCUACACCCCAUGGCCAUGAAAAGUUGUACAAAUCAUGACGCUGCACCCCACGGUUUACGUUCUAGGGGGCGCCAAAGAUAACCCAAAAAUCCACAGUCUUAAAAGUCUUAUAACUUUUUAUUUUUGUCCUCACUGGCCUCCAAGUUUUCUAGGAUGAUGCAAUGUCCAGCCAUCAACACAUUUGUGAAGGAAUUUUUACUCCCCAAAAGAGCGCCCCCCCAUUGCAGGAGAAAAAAGUCCAUUUUCUCUUGUCCCAUAAGGUGAAAAUACACAUUGUUGAGUGUCACGCCUGUACGCUUUGUCAUAUUGAAACAAAAUUUGACAAUCACGUGUAUCUCAAUAAGAUCUACGAAAAAGUCAAUGCGCACGUAUCUGUAAAAUGUACGGUUUAAGGGCUAUUACGCAGUUUUGAUCGAUUCGCACACAUUGGAAUGUGGCUAACUCCUCCUAAAGCUUUCGUUCCACCGGCACCACAUUUGCUCAGGCCAAUCUACACCCCAUGGCCAUUAAAAGUUGUACAAAUCAUGACGCUGCACCCCACGGUUUACGUUCUAGGGGGCGCCAAAGGUAACCCAAAAAUCCACAUUCUUAAAAGUCUUAUAACUUUUCAUUUUUGUCCUCACUGGCUUCCAAGUUUUCUAGGAUGAUGCAAUGUCCAGCCAUCAACACAUUUGUGAAGGAAUUUUUACUCCCCAAAAGAGCGCCCCCCCCCCCCCCCCCCAUGGCAGGAGAAAAAGUCAAGUUUUUCCUGCCCAUCGCUCAGUGGCUCAAACACAUGUCAUGUGUUCAAACUCCUCCGAAAGGAGGAGCAACUUGCCAUUUGGAUAUAUCCUAGCUGUGUUUGUGCCCUCACUCAUGGAUCAGACUUUUUUCAAAUAGGACAUGUAGUUUGUCUGCAGCGAGUGUUUUGGUAGAAACUGCGCCUCCCAUUCAUUAUAAUGGGAAAUGACCACAGACAAGUGCGCACACCAUCUUUGGACCUUGAGAGUGACGCGAUCGGGAGGGGGAGGCGGUCGCGCUGGGGGCGGCGCAACGCGGCUCGGGCCCGACAGUGCCCCACCGGGGCCCUAGUUCUUCUUAUUUUUCCUCCCCUUUGAAGGGGAAAAUGGCCCACUUCCCACUGGCGAAAACUCAUGAAAUUUGGCAGGACGACCGGGCCUGGUGAAAAAUUCGAUAUUCUGAAGUCGCCCAAACAAUAAAAUGCAAAAUGGCUCCAUAGCGCCCCCUAAGGUGAAAAUUUACACUAUUGACUGUCACGCCUGUACGCUUUGUCAUAUUGACACAAAAUUUGACACACACAUGUAUCUCAAUAAGAUCUACAAAAAAAUCAGUGCGGGCGUAUCUAUCAAAUGUACGGUUAAAGGGUUAUUUCGCAUUUUUUGCCGAUCCGCACACAUUGGAAUUUCGCUAACUCCUCCGAAGGCUUUCGUUCCACCGGCACCACAUUUGCUCAGGCCAAUCUACACCCCAUGGCCAUUAAAAGUUGUACAAAUCAUGACGCUGCACCCCACGGUUUACGUUCUAGGGGGCGCCAAAGAUAACCCAAAAAUCCACAGUCUUAAAAGUCUUAUAACUUUUUAUUUUUGUCCUCACUGGCCUCCAAGUUUUCUAGGAUGAUGCAAUGUCCAGCCAUCAACACAUUUGUGAAGGAAUUUUUACUCCCCAAAAGAGCGCCCCCCAUGGCAGGAGAAAAAAGUCCAUUUUUUCUUGUCCCAUAAGGUGAAAAUACACAUUGUUGAGUGUCACGCCUGUACGCUUUGUCAUAUUGAAACAAAAUUUGACAAUCACGUGUAUCUCAAUAAGAUCUACGAAAAAGUCAAUGCGCACGUAUCUGUAAAAUGUACGGUUUAAGGGCUAUUACGCAUUUUUGAUCGAUUCGCACACAUUGGAAUGUGGCUAACUCCUCCUAAAGCUUUCGUUCCACCGGCACCACAUUUGCUCAGGCCAAUCUACACCCCAUGGCCAUUAAAAGUUGUACAAAUCAUGACGCUGCACCCCACGGUUUACGUUCUAGGGGGCGCCAAAGGUAACCCAAAAAUCCACAUUCUUAAAAGUCUUAUAACUUUUCAUUUUUGUCCUCACUGGCUUCCAAGUUUUCUAGGAUGAUGCAAUGUCCAGCCAUCAACACAUUUGUGAAGGAAUUUUUACUCCCCAAAAGAGCACCCCCCCCCCAUGGCAGGAGAAAAAGUCAAGUUUUUCCUGCCCAUCGCUCAAUGGCUCAAACACAUGUCAUGUGUUCAAACUCCUCCGAAAGGAGGAGCAACUUGCCAUUUGGAUAUAUCCUAGCUGUGUUUGUGCCCUCACUCAUGGAUCAGACUUUUUUCAAAUAGGACAUGUAGUUUGUCUGCAGCGAGUGUUUUGGUAGAAACUGCGCCUCCCAUUCAUUAUAAUGGGAAAUGACCACAGACAAGUGCGCACACCAUCUUUGGACCUUGAGAGUGACGCGAUCGGGAGGGGGAGGCGGUCGCGCUGGGGGCGGCGCAACGCGGCUCGGGCCCGACAGUGCCCCACCGGGGCCCUAGUUCUUCUUAUUUUUCCUCCCCUUUGAAGGGGAAAAUGGCCCACUUCCCACUGGCGAAAACUCAUGAAAUUUGGCAGGACGACCGGGCCUGGUGAAAAAUUCGAUAUUCUGAAGUCGCCCAAACAAUAAAAUGCAAAAUGGCUCCAUAGCGCCCCCUAAGGUGAAAAUUUACACUAUUGACUGUCACGCCUGUACGCUUUGUCAUAUUGACACAAAAUUUGACACACACAUGUAUCUCAAUAAGAUCUACAAAAAAAUCAGUGCGGGCGUAUCUAUCAAAUGUACGGUUAAAGGGUUAUUUCACAUUUUUUGCCGAUCCGCACACAUUGGAAUUUCGCUAACUCCUCCGAAGGCUUUCGUUCCACCGGCACCACAUUUGCUCAGGCCAAUCUACACCCCAUGGCCAUUAAAAGUUGUACAAAUCAUGACGCUGCACCCCACGGUUUACGUUCUAGGGGGCGCCAAAGAUAACCCAAAAAUCCACAGUCUUAAAAGUCUUAUAACUUUUUAUUUUUGUCCUCACUGGCCUCCAAGUUCUCUAGGAUGAUGCAAUGUCCAGCAAUUAACACAUUUGUGAAGGAAUUUUUACUCGCCAAAAGAGCGCCCCCCCAUGGCAGGAGAAAAAAGUCCAUUUUUUCUUGUCCCAUAAGGCGAAAAUACACAUUGUUGAGUGUCACGCCUGUACGCUUUGUCAUAUUGACACAAAAUUUGACAAUCACGUGUAUCUCAAUAAGAUCUACGAAAAAGUCAAUGCGCGCGUAUCUGUCAAAUGUACGGUUAAAGGUCGAUUUCGCAUUUUUUGCCAAUUCGCACACAUUGGAAUUUCGCUAACUCCUCCGAAAGCUUUCGUCCCAUCAGCACCACAUUUGCUCAGGCCAAUCUACACCCCAUGGCCAUUCAAAGUUGUAAAAAUCAUGAUGCUGCACCCCACGGUUUACGUUCUAGUGGGCGCCAAAGAUAACCCAAAAAUCCACAUUUUCAAAAGUCUUAUAACUUUUUAUUUUUGUCCUCACUGGCCUCCAAGUUUUCUAGGAUAAUGCAAUGUUCAGCCAUCAACACAAUUGUGAAGGAAUUUUUACUCCCCAAAAGAGCGCCCCCCCCAUGGCCGGAGAAAAAGUCAAGUUGUUCCUGCCCAUCGCUCAAUGGCUUAAACGCAUCGCUCUCUCGGCAAAACCGAAAGGAGGAGCAACUUGCCAUUUGGAUAUAUCUUAGCUGUGUUUGUGCCUUCACUCAUUUUCCAGACUUUUUUCAAAUAGGACAUGGAGUUUGUCUGCAGCGAGCGUUUUGGUAGAAACUGCGCCUCCCAUUCAUUAUAAUAGUAAAUAACCACAGACAAGUGCGCACACCAUCUUUGGACCUUGAGUGUGACGCGAUCGGGAGGGGUAGGCGGUCGCGCUGGGGGCGGCGCGACACGGCUCGGGCCCGCCAGUGCCCCAACGGGGCCCUAGUUUCUUCUUUUUCCUCCCCUUUGAACUGGAAAAUGGCCCACUUCCCACUGGCGAAAACUCAUGAAAUUUGGCAGGACGACCGGGCCUGGUGAAAAAUUUGAUAUUCCGAAGUCGCCCAAACAAGAAAAUGCAAAAUGGCUCCAUAGCGCCCCCUAAGGUGAAAAUUCACACUAUUGACUGUCACGCCUGUACGCUUUGUCAAAAUGACACAAAAAUUGACACACACAUGUAUCUCAAUAAGAUCCACGAAAAAGUCAAUGCGCGCGUAUCUGUCAAAUGUACAGUUAAAGGGUUAUUCCGCAUUUUUUGCCAAUCCGCACACAUUGGAAUGUUGCUAACUCCUCCUAAGGCUUUCGUUCCACUGGCAUCACAUUUGCUCAGGCCAAUCUACACCCCAUGGCCAUUAAAAGUUAUUCAAAUCAUGACGCUGCACCCCACGGUUUAGGUUCUAGGGGGCGCCAAAGAUAACCCUAAAAUCCACAUAUUUAAAAGUCUUAUAACUUUUUAUUUUUUCCCUCACUGGCCUCCAAGUUUUCUAGGAUGAUGCAAUGUCCAGCCAUCAAUACAUUUGUGAAGGAAUUUUUACUCCCCAAAAGAGCGCCCCCCCCCCCCAUGGCAGGAGAAAAAAGUCCAUUUUUUCUUGUCCCCUAAGGUGAAAAUACACAUUGUUGAGUGUCACGCCUGUACGCUUUGUCAUAUUGACACAAAAUAUGACAAUCACGUGUAUCUCAAUAAAAUCUACGAAAAAGUCAAUGCGCACGUAUCUGUAAAAUGUACGGUUAAAGGACUAUUUCGCAUUUUUUGCCGAUUCGCACACAUUGGAAUGUGGCUAACUCCUCCUAAGGCUUUCAUCCCACUGACAUCACAUUUGCUCAGGCCAAUCUACACCCUAUGGCCAUUAAAAGUUAUUCAAAUCAUGACGCUGCACCCCACGGUUUAGGUUCUAGGGGGCGCCAAAGAUAACCCUAAAAUCCACAUAUUUAAAAGUCUUAUAACUUUUUAUUUUUUCCCUCACUGGCCUCCAAGUUUUCUAGGAUGAUGCAAUGUCCAGCCAUCAAUACAUUUGUGAAGGAAUUUUUACUCCCCAAAAGAGCGCCCCCCCAUGGCAGGAGAAAAAAGUCCAUUUUUUCUUGUCCCCUAAGGUGAAAAUACACAUUGGUGAGUGUCACGCCUGUACGCUUUGUCAUAUUGACACAAAAUUUGACAAUCACGUGUAUAUUAAAAAGAUCUACGAAAGAGUCAACGCACGCGUAUCUGUCAAAUGUACGGUUAAAGGGCUAUUUUGCAUUUUUUGCCGAUCCGCACACAUUGGAAUUUCGCUAACUCCUCCUAAAGCCUUCGUCCCAUCGGCACCAAAUUUGCUCAGGCCAAUCCACACCCUAUGGCCAUUCAAAGAUGUAAAAAUCAUGACGCUGCACCCCACGGUUUACGUUCUAGGGGGCGCCAAAGAUAACCCAAAAAUCCACAUUUUCAAAAGUCUUAUAACUUUUUAUUUUUGUCCUCACUGGCCUCCAAGUUUUCUAGGAUGAUGCAAUGUCCAGCCAUCAACACAAUUGUGAAGGAAUUUUUACUCCCCAAAAGAGCGCCCCCCCAUGGCCGGAGAAAAAGUCAAGUUUUUCCUGCCCAUCGCUCAAUGGCUUAAACGCAUCGCUCUCUCGGCAAAACCGAAAGGAGGAGCAACUUGCCAUUUGGAGAUAUCCUAGCUGUGUUUGUGCCCUCACUCAUGGUCCAGACUUUUUUCAAAUAAGACAUGGAGUUUUUCUGCAGCGAGCGUUUUGGUAGAAACUGCGCCUCCCAUUCAUUAUAAUGGUAAAUGACCACAGACAAGUGCGCACACCAUCUCUGGACCUUGAGUGUGCCGCGAUCGGAAGGAGGGGGCCGUCGCGAUGGGGGCGGCACAACAUGGCUCGGCCCGCCAGUGCCCCACCGGGGCCCUAGUUAGGGCCCGAGCGUAGCUGCUAAGCAGCCGCGAGAGCCCUCUUGUUCCUGAAGGAUUCUUCUUUCUUAGGGCCCGAGCGUAGCUGCUAAGCAGCUGCGAGAGCCCUCUUGUUCCUUCAUAGUCGAAAAAUCUUCUUUCUUCUUUUUCCUCCCCUUUGAACUGGAAAAUGGCCCACUUCCCACUGGCGAAUGCUCAUGAAAUUUGGCAGGACGACCGGGCCUGGUGAAAAAUUCGAUAUUCUGAAGUCGCCCAAACAAUAAAAUGCAAAAUGGCUCCAUAGCGCCCCCUAAGGUGAAAAUUCACACUAUUGACUGUCACGCCUGUACGCUUUGUCAUAUUGACACAAAAAUUGACACACACAUGUACCUCAAUAGGAUCUACAAAAAAGUCAGUGCGGGCGUAUCUGUCAAAUGUACGGUUAAAGGGUUAUUUCGCAUUUUUUGCCAAUCCGCACACAUUGGAAUUUCGCUAACUCCUCCGAAGGCUUUCGUUCCACCGGCACCAAAUUUGCUCAGGCCAAUCUACACCCCAUGGCCAUUAAAAGUUGUACAAAUCAUGAAGCUGCACCCCACGGUUUAGGUUCUAGGGGGCGCCAAAGAUAACCCAAAAAUCCACAGUCUUAUAACUUUUUAUUUUUGUCCUCACUGGCCUCCAAGUUCUCUAGGAUGAUGCAAUGUCCAGCCAUCAACACAUUUGUGAAGGAAUUUUUACUCCCCAAAAGAGCGCCCCCCCAUGGCAGGAGAAAAAAGUCCAUUUUUUCUUGUCCCCUAAGGUGAAAAUACACAUUGUUGAGUGUCACGCCUGUACGCUUUGUCAUAUUGACACAAAAUUUGACAAUCACGUGUAUCUCAAUAAGAACUACGAAAAAGUCAAUGCGCCCGUAUCUGUAAAAUGUACGGUUAAAGGGCUAUUUUGCAUUUUUUGCCGAUUCGCACACAUUGCAAUGUGGCUAACUCCUCCUAGAGCUUUCAUCCCACCGGCACUAAAUUUUCUCAGGCCAAUCUACACCCCAUGGCCAUUUAAAGUUGUACAAAUCAUGACGCUGCACCCCACGGUUUACGUUCUAGGGGGCGCCAAAGAUGACCCAAAUAUCCACAUUUCUAAAAGUCUUAACUUUUUAUUUUUGUCCUCACUGGCCUCCAAGUUUUCUAGGAUGAUGCAAUGUCCAGCCAUCAACACAUUUGUGAAGGAAUUUUUACUCCCCAAAAGAGCGCCCCCCAUGGCAGGAGAAAAAGUCAAAGUUUUUCCUGCCCAUCGCUCAAUAGCUCAAGCGCAUCGCUCUCCCGCAAAAACCGAAAGGAGGAGCAACUUGCCAUUUGGAUAUAUACUAGCUGUGUUUGCGCCCUCACUCAUGGUCCAGACUUUUUUCAAAAAGGACACGUAGUUUUUCUGCAGCGAGCGUUUAGGUAGAAACUGUGCCUCCCAUUCAUUAUAAUGGUAAAUGACCACAGACAAGUGCCACACCAUCUUUGGACCUUGAGUAUGACAGGAUCAGGAGGGGGAGGCAGUCGCGCUGGGGGCGGCGCGACACGGCUCGGGCCCGCCAGUGCCUCAACGGGGCCCUAGUUUUUAGGGCCCGAGCGUAGCUGCUAAGCAGCUGCGAGGCCCUGUUGUUCCUGUAGUGGUUUUUCUUUGUUUCUUUUUUCUUUUUCCUCCCCUUUGAACUGGAAAAUGGCCCACUUCCCACUGGCGAAAACUCAUGAAAUUUGGCAGGACGACCGGGCCUGGUGAAAAAUUUGAUAUUCUGAAGUCGCCCAAACAAUAAAAUGCAAAAUGGCUCCAUAGCGCCCCCUAAGAUGAAAAUUCACACUAUUGACUGUCACGGCUGUACGCUUUGUCAUAUUGACACAAAGAUUGACACACACAUGUAUCUCAAUAAGAUCUACAAAAAAGUCAGUGCGGGCGUAUCUGUCAAAUUUACGGUUAAAGGGUUAUUUCGCAUUUUUUGCUGAUCCACACACAUCGGAAUUUCGCUAACUCCUCUGAAGACUUUUGUUCCAUCGGCACAACAUUUGCUCAGGUCAAUCUACACCCCAUGGCCAUUAAAAGUUAUUCAAAUCAUGACGCUGCACCCCACGGUUUAGGUUCUAGGGGGCGCCAAAGAUAACCCUAAAAUCCACAUAUUUAAAAGUCUUAUAACUUUUUAUUUUCGUCCUCGCUGGCCUCCAAGUUUUCUAGGAUGAUGCAAUGUCCAGCCAUCAACACAUUUGUGAAGGAAUUUUUACUCCCCAAAAGAGCGCCCCCCCCAUGGCAGGAGAAAAAAGUCCAUUUUUUCUUGUCCACUAAGGUGAAAAUACACAUUGUUGAGUGCUACGCCUGUAUGUUUUGUCAAAAUGACACAAAAUUCGACACACACGUGUAUCUCAAUAAGAUCUACAAAAAAGUCAAUGCGGACGUAUCUGUCAAAUGUACGAUUAAAGGGCUAUUUCGCAUUUUUUGCCGAUCUGCACACAUUGGAAUUUCGCUAACUCCUCCUAAGGCUUUCGUUCCACCGGCACCAAAUUUGCUCAGGCCAAUCUACACCCCAUGGCCAUUAAAAGUUAUUCAAAUCAUGAUGCUGCACCCCACGGUUUACGUUCUAGGGGGCGCCAAAGAUGACCCAAAUAUCCACAUUCUUAAAAGAAUCCACAUCCCCCCCCCAUCCCCCCCCCAUCCCCCAUCCCCCAUGGCAGGAGAAACAGUCAAGUUUUUCCUGCCCAUCACUCAAUGGCUCAAUCGCAUUGCUCUCCCGGCAACACCGUAACGAGGAGCAACUUGCCGUUGGGAUAUAUCCUAGCUGUGUUUGUGCCCUCACUCAUGGUCCAGACUUUUUUCAAAUAGGACAUGUAAUUUGUCUGCAGCGAGUGUUUUGGUAGAAACUGCGCCUCCCAUUCAUUAUAAUGGGAAAUGACCACAGACAAGUGUGCACACCAUCUUUGGACCUUGAGUGUGACGCGAUCGGGAGGGGGAGGCGGUCGCGCUGGGGGCGGCGCAACGCGGCUCGGGCCCGACAGUGCCCCACCGGGGCCCUAGUUUAUUUUUCCUCCCCUUUGAACUGGAAAAUGGCCCACUUCCCACUGGCGAAAACUCAUGAAAUUUGGCAGGACGACCGGGCCUGGUGAAAAAUUCGAUAUUCUGAAGUCGCCCAAACAAUAAAAUGCAAAAUGGCUCCAUAGCGCCCCCUAAGGUGAAAAUUCACACUAUUGACUGUCACGCCUGUACGCUUUGUCAUAUUGACACAAAAUUUUACACACGUGUAUCUCAAUAAGGUCUACGCAAAAGUCAGCGCGGGCGUAUCUGUAAAAUGUACGGUUAAAGGGCUAUUUCGCAUUUUUUGCAGAUCCGCACACAUUGGAAUUUCGCUAACUCCUCCGAAGGCUUUCGUUCCACCGGCACCAAAUUUGCUCAGGCCAAUCCACACCCCAUGGCCAUUAAAAGUUGUACAAAUCAUGAUGCUGCACCCCACGGUUUAGGUUCUAGGGGGCGCCAAAGAUAACCCAAAAAUCCACAUUCUUAAAAGUCUAAUAACUUUUUAUUUUUGUCCUCACUGGCCUCCAAGUUCUCUAGGAUGAUGCAAUGUCCAGCCAUCAACACAUUUGUGAAGGAAUUUUUACUCCCCAAAAGAGCGCCCCCCCCAUGGCAGGAGAAAAAAGUCCAUUUUUUCUUGUCCCCUAAGGUGAAAAUACACAUUGUUGAGUGUCACGCCUGUACGCUUUGUCAUAUUGACACAAAAUUUGACAAUCACGUGUAUCUCAAUAAAAUCUACGAAAAAGUCAAUGCGCACGUAUCUGUAAAAUGUACGGUUAAAGGACUAUUUCGCAUUUUUUGCCGAUUCGCACACAUUGGAAUGUGGCUAACUCCUCCUAAGGCUUUCAUCCCACUGACACCAAAUUUGCUCAGGCCAAUCUACACCCCAUGGCCAUUCAAAGAUGUAAAAAUCAUGACGCUGCACCCCACGGUUUACGUUCUAGGGGGCGCCAAAGAUGACACAAAAAUCCACAUUCUUAAAAGUCGUUUUGGCCACUGAGUGUUUUUUAGCACCUUUUAGCACCUGCAAAAACAUGCUAUUUACAUAUUUGACAAGAAUGCAGAGGCUUCCUUUUGCCCCUGAAAAAAAUCAAAUUUCAAACACAACUUGACUGCUCAUUUCUCCAAAAGACAACCAUGAAGCUCCAUCCAAACCUGAAGCAGGCAGUUGGUGCAUGUGUACAGUAACCUGAGGGGAGUGAGGUGACUGCUUCUGAGGAGAACAUGAGCAGUGAAGAUUCACCUUGGAGCUAGAACAGGGACGUGCACAUGAUUAUACAGGGGCAGGGGCUCAAGUCUUUUCCAGUCGUUUAUACAAUAUGGAAAUUAAUGUGAAAUUAAAAACAAAGUAUUAAUAGAAAGGUAAUGACUGUCCUGUGUAGGUGACAGUGAUAUCCAAUAGGCUAGGCACUCACGAGGCUGGCUGUGGCAAGUGUAAGUGAAAGCAACACGCACUGGCAGGAAGAACAGCAAACACCGAUGAAGGAAAAGGGUCUUUGCAGUGAUGGGCGUCACCAGAGAGGGCGACAGCCAGAGGACGUGAAUGGGACAGAAUGCGCUGGGGGCGGCACGACGCGGCUCGGGCCUGCCAGUGCCCCAACGGGGCACUAGUUUUACCUUGUUUCCUAUAAUGUGUCAUGUUUGAGUUGCAGAGGAGCUGAAAGCAUAGUGUUCGUAGGUAGCCCAUUAGCAUUAACACUGGGGCCCGUUUUAACAAAUUAUGCUAAGUGUCUGUAACAAAAGUGUUUCUUGUCAAAGGGGACGUGCUGUGUGUUGUAGCACCGCUAAACUGUUUACCUCAGGUCUUGGAGUAUGUCACUUUAUCCUAGUUGUAGAAGUCCCGCAAACAUUGUGUUUGCUGGUAGUCUGUUAAUAUCUACAGUAGCACCAAUCCUAUUUACUUUCAUGUUGACUGGGCCCCAUUUCUAGUUAUCUAAAUUAUUUAUCUUUAUCAUAUCUAAAUUAAAUUGGAAGCACCAUUGUUGUUUCGAAAAAAAAAAAGCCUGCAUAGUGGUGUUGUUGACUGAUAAAGCAGCUUGGAAAGUUUACAAAUCAAAUAAAUCAGUAAAACAGAUAUUUUAAACCGAGUAAUAUCUUAAUACCACACUCUCCUUCUCUUCAUUUCAGGUACCGCAAACUGUAUAACAGAGAGUCCAGAGCAUGGAGUUUGUGGGGCCUUUAUGGUGUACGUUUUUUUUUAAAUAGUAGUGUAAUGAAAAAACACAUGUAUAAAACCGCAUUUACAUAUAGAUAAAUAGCAUUUUUAAAAAGCACUUCAAUAUUCUCCCAACACAAGAACUGGGAAUCACUACUCUGAGCCCCUACGCUUCAUAAUGGCAGAUCACAAACUGUCUAUAUGUAGCAAACCAGGACUACUAGUUACCCUCUCUAAGACCAGGGCUGUCUGCAAUAGCUCCCAAGUUCCAGAACCUUCUAGCCAGCCUGUCCAUCCAUAUUUGGUGGACACAGCUCAUCCAGAUUCAGUCUUUUAAUACAGGCCUAGGAAUGCAAAAAUCAGAAAACCACAGUCUUAUAUUUAGAAAUGGUUUUCUCUCAUCUUAUGUCUGUGAAAUUAUCACAUUAGUCAUGCAUACCUGAUCAUCUGCCACUCUCCGUGCUUGAUGCUCUCCACAUGGGUAAGUUCCUCCAGUGCUAAAGCACAGGGACCUUGGUCUCUUUGUUGAUCUCUCCCCCGGUCUCUGCCACGGCCCGGAGCCUAGGCUUUGCUGUCUGGCUUGUGGUGGCCUGCCUCUUGGACCUUCUCUAACCUUGCUGUGACUGGGGCUGGGGUGUAUUCAUCCUCACAGUCAGGACUAUGUUCCUGAAAAAGUGCUAGAUAGCAUUGUAUUGUUUUUAACUUGCCACAGUCUGCUUCUGUAAGCCUGUAGGCAGGAAAGCUAGCUGCUGUGGCUAUACUGGCAAACUGGAGAGGGUCUCUCGCCCCCUGCACCUGUGGACGCAUGAGCUCCAGGACAAGUCGCUCCAGGGUCUUCAUCACGUGGGAGGUGAGGACGACUGGCUGGUAGUCGUUGAGCUCCGACGGGCGUCCCUUCUUAGGCACGGGAACGAUGCAGGAUGUCUUCCACAGGGAGGGAACCUUCCCUAAGCAAAGGCUGAGGUUGAAGACGUGCUGGAGAGGGGCUCCCAGUUCAGCAGCACAGGCACAGAGGAGUCUGGGGGGAGACCUGGUCCAGGCCAACCGCCUUCCUGGGACGCAGCUUCCUUAGUGCCGUCAUCACCUGGUCAGCACUGAUGAGUGGGGGGUUGGAGGUGUCGGAUGAGGCAGGGGGUCCAGGUUGAGAGGGGGGAGAGGUGGGGGGAGGGGAGGAGGCAUGGUGGUGGCUCAGAAGUUCAGGGGACUGGAGGGAGGCAAGGGGCUGGGAAGGGGAGCUGGCAGUGGGGGCAGGGGAGCUAAACCUGUUGAAGAAGGUGUCAAGUUCAUCAGCUUGCUCCGCAUUCAUUCUCACUGCACUACUCCUCUUGUUGUACUCUGUGAUGGCCUUCAUCCCAUUCCAGACCUCUCGCAUCUGGUUGUUACUGAGCUGGUUCUCCAGCUUCUUCCUCUAGGCCUCCUUAGCCUUCCUCAGACAGAGUCUUAGGUCAUGUUGAGCCUCCCUCAUCUCCUCUUUGUCCUUGCUCAUGAACGCCAUCUUCUUCCUGUUCAGGACAGUCUUGACCUCCUUGGUCACCCAGGGUUUGUUAUUGGUAAAGCAUCUGACUGUCCAGAAGUUCAGGUAGUCUCCCCAUGCGAGCCCACUAUUACAUCCCAGUCUGUUGUCUAGAAGCAGUCCCUGAGAGACUCCUCAUCUUCAGGGGACCACCUCCUGACGUAAUAGGCAGCCUCUUCACCAGGGGAAUGUAGGUGGGCUUGAGUAGCACAAGGUUGUGGUCUGAUCUUCCCAACGGGGGGAGCGGAGUGGCUACAUAUGCCUCCUUAGCAUUGGUGUAGAACAAAUCAAUGGUUCUGUUCUGUCCUGGUGUCUUCCUGGUGUUCUUCCUGGCAGUCUACACACUGGUGGAGUGCUGGUAGUGUGGUACCCAGGGUGACGAGGUUGAAGUCUCCAGAUAUGAUGAGCAGAGCCUCCGGGUGCUGGGUCUGAAGAGCCGAGGUGGUGGUGAAGAUGGACUCCAGUGCAGUGUCUGGGUGUGCCCUCGGUGGAAUGAAAUGCCACAGUGCGGGUUGCACCACCCUGUGCUGCGCCGCUGGCGGGCACAAAAACAGAGCUCUCAGGCUCUCACUCUGACACCUCUUCACACAGAGAUAUUUUUUAGUGCCUCUGAAGUGUGUUGUGUUUACUUUCAAUUCUCAAUCAAAGUUUAGACUCUAAUGUUCACAGAACUGGGUCGGAUGUCUGUUUUAGUGUAAAUGUUACCUUUUAUGUCGAUUUUAAUCUGUUUUGGUGUCUCUGUCUGGACAUUUAAAUUUUGCGACCACUACCGAAUCAAAGCUUUGCAGUGUAGCGGAGAAAGGCUCCGUACGGCCAUGUCUGUAGUCAUUUGAAAGGGGAGAAGCUACUGAAUCGAUUGGUAUCAAUCUUUCCAAAUGACUACAUUUCCCAGCUUUGAAAAAAGCCAGGCGUAAAGUGUUCGUAAUCUGUGCGCUUUUAGGUGCAGCGCCCCACGGACGAAGGCAGGAUGCUGCAUCGCACACUGAUCACUCAGGACUCUCCUGUAAACUUUCUCCACCACUUAUAAAACUUCUCUUGAGUACUUUUCAACCAGGAAAAGAAACAUUCAACUCUUAGAGGGAUAUGGCGGACAUUUUAUUAGAAAUUCAGCGGGGCUCUGUCGGUGAAUUCGAGGACUCGUCUGACUCAGUAAUGGCGUCUGCUCCGAGGAGGAGGCAUUGUUUACAUUAGAAGUGGACCCAGUUUACUUAUAAGUAUUUGCAUUUAUCUAUAAGGCCGUGUUGUGUAAAUUGAUAUGCAUGGAACACCUUUGUCAUAAAACUUUAAACACUGUAGUAAGUAUGGCAAUCCUAUAGCAUUGAAUAUUACUGCAGUUUCACUAUAUCUGUUUAUUUCAGGCUUACUUUGCUUGCAGAUACUGCAUUUUAUCUGUCUUCGAAUAUAUUCUUUAUGAGAAAAAAAAAUGAAGUACAUAUAAAUGCAAACAAAAUAUAGUAGAGGUCAUGGCUUCUCAAUUUAGUGAAUUAGUUUACAUAUAUCCACAACUUUUGUGUCCUUCAGAUGUUAUUUAUUUUUGUUCUGCAUAGUAAUUGAUCACCAUUUUCACAGCCACCAAGAAGAGUGGAGUGAGGCACAUCCACCCCCACCCCCCAUCAGGGCUUUUCACACCUUCAGUACUCCCUGCACCAGACGCCCCACCCCCACCCUUACCUGCAAGAAAGGUGACAUUGCUUGUAUGAAGGUUUGUGUACUGAUCAUUUGUUUGAUUCUGGUCUCUAAAAGAAAUAAUACACUAUUUACUGCUUCAAUUAUGCAUUUAUAUGUAUUCAUUACAUUUAAUUUACUCUACCUGUGUUUGCUGUUGCUUUAUAUUGUUAUAUACUGUUUUUAAUUUACAAUAAUUGUUGCACUUUUACUUUUUAUUUAACAUUGUUUGCUUGUUUCUCUUUUUGCACUUUAUUCAAAUAAAAAUACUCCCUGUGAAGAAAGAAAUGUAGAAGUUCCUGUUAUUUUUCAGUAUUCUGUAUUACAUAUAAACAAAUAUAUUGUGCAGAAUGGUAGAAAUUGAUGAGGCAAAAGGUAAAUUUCAUAUCUAAAAGCUCCAAUAAGUAGUAGGAGACUAGUCUUAUGGAAAUAAAUUGUAAUUUGGAGCCAGUUCUCAUCAGAGGUAGAAAAUAAUCCAUUUGUCACAUUUUGGCAUAAAGUGUGCCAAAUUGUGCCAAACUGAGUCCUCGCCUGGGUGUACCCUUACAAAAACCUUCAUGUAGGCUUUACUGUUUGCCCGAAUUCUAUCAAAUUUGGUACAUUUGUGGUCAAGGAGUGGAUGAAGUUAAUCAAUGGCAUCUGGGGGCCUGGAAUCAUUGCCAGCACUGUGUUUUCCCCUGUCAAAAAAAGAAAACAUUUUGGCAAGGGUAAAAAAACGUAAUUUUUCCUCUGAUUUAUUCCAAUUUACUCAGGCAUAAUGACAGAUAAAACACUUCUGACACAUUCUCUGAAGUCUCUAGAUGUCCAAGGACACCAAGAACAUGCAUAUAACCUUUAGUAAAGUGUAGUAAUUCCUCAUUUACUUUGGGUAUGUCUUUUAGCCGUUUUUUUUCCUUAAAAUAUGCUUAGGGCCGAAGGGGGUAUUGUGCACAAUUACAUCUGAAAAGAAGGGUGGAAUAUGACAGAGGAGAGAGCAUGUAGGAGGAUAAAGGAAAUGGCGACAUAUCCUUCUUCAGUUUUAUCAAUAUAAAUACAUUUUUUUCUCCUAUAUACUUUGAAGCACAUUCUUUAGAUCUGUGCUACCCUUGCAUAUAUGUAGAAAGGUUGUAGACUGUUGAAAAAGCACCAGCAAAACAAAAGUUUAGCUUAUAAUACUUGGAUCUGCAAUCACAGAGCCCCUGACACGAUCAGCUGCAAUACACCUUAUGUUUAACUUUUUUCAGACAUUUCAGCUCUAGUAGCUCCUCUGUUGGCUCAGACCACCAAGACAAGCCCACGCUCCUCUUGCAGGGAGAACCUUGCAUAAUUUAGCAAGGUAAUGCCACAGAAUAUUUGCAUCUAUAACAACAGCAUAUCUUCAUGGUAGAAGAGUCCCAGUGAUAAACUGCCCUGCCUGUGACAAAAAAAGAUAAACCAGACAACAGUUGAGCAAAUAAAAAUUGUAUAUUGGAAGAGAAAGGCGGAACAUUUAACUUCAACAUGAAAUAGACUGGUCUUCCCAGUUUACAGUGUGUUGUUUAAAGAAGAGGUGACGCAUCAAAACAUGCUCCAGCCCAGGGAUGGGGAUCACUAACUGGAUAUGUAAAAUACCUAAUCAAGCAUCAGCCAGAACCCAAAGAUCAAUAAUGUUUGAGCUUAUCAAGUCUGCUAUUGUGUCCCAAUGGUCUUGUGAAGAAUGGGCUUUGACUUAAGUUGUAUCAUGUUAAUUAAAUCAAUGGACCGCAUUAAUUGACUGUCAAAUCACAUUCUAGAACCUGAGCUCAACCUAGUGGCAGCAAAGUCUGGUCUCUGUAAAUUUUCUGCAAUUUUUGCUUUAUUUUUUCAUAUUUUAUUGUGUUUUGUCAGCUGCUGAUGGAUAUUUCUGCUGGGAGAAUAGUUUACUCAAGAGAAGAGCUUCUUUCAUUGAGACAGGAAAUACCUGGACAACCACAUCUAAUCCCAGAGGACAUCAGGAGGCGUUAUAGGGGUUGCCAUGCUGGAGCACAGGUAUAGGCAAGGUUGAAUGCUAGGACAUAGAGAUAUAAACCCUUUUUUCAGCAGUCAUCAUGGGAGACAUCAACUAAAGCAACACAAUGGAGAUAUCGGUAAAGACUGAAAAAGUUUAACGUGAGUGCAGUCUCCAAAUGAGUUUGUACAACUAUUUCAAAAUGAAAGUAGACAAAGGAAAUCUCUCAAACAUAUGUAAAUGAUUGCAGAAGACCAAUAUUGUAGAUAAAAAGAUAAGAGAAAAGUUGGCAAAUGAUUUAGAAAUCAAUAUCCCAGCUGAUGAGUGGAGAGACAGCUUACAGUCUUAAUACUGGACAGAGUUUGCAUGGAAAGUAAGCAUGAGGUACUUCAUCUCUCCUUAGCAAAUAUUUUUUGCGCACAGACUCCAGCUGUUGGAAGGGAUGUGGGAAACAGGAGGCAAGCUACACUCAUAUUUUAUUUUUAACUGUCUGGCAUUAGUAAGAUUCUGGAGUGAGGUUGAGAAAGCCUGUACUGUUGUAUUUGAGCUAUAUGAACAUCUUAAGAUAGAAACAUUUUUGGGAAUUAAUGUAACAGAAAAAAUUAACACAGCUGACAUACAUCUUUUUAAUAUUUUCUGAGUGACAGCUAUUAAACAGGUGACAAGGACAUGGAAACAAAAAAAACCCACCCAAACUCAUUUUUUGGUUAACAACAUUAGAGCAGACUUUAGAAGCUGAAAAAUUAACAUAUGAAAUAAGAGUUAAUAUAACAAAAUUAAAUAAGAUGUACCCCAGAGAAAGACUUGGCAGACUGUAUAAUUUAAGGGGAUUUCUACCUACAGAGCACAACUUUCUGGUCUUUCUAGCAUAGUUAACACAACACAAGGUUAGGGUUCUCAGCCAAAAAGUUUCUCACCCACUGCAAGGAACUAAGUAAAAGAUUGUGUUUUGUUAAAUAAAGGGAGAAAAAAAACUUUGAGGAUGUGAGGUGUAAAAAGAUGUAUACCUUAGGAAUUUAGAGUAAACCCGAAAGAUAUGUGUAGCAGAGUGAUGAUAGUUUACCCCUGGCCUUGCAGGGACAACAAAUGUGACCUUACUGUCAGAGUCAAUUUAGUUUUUGGAUGGAGGUUGCAGAGGAAGGAACGUAAAAGCUGGGAGAGAAAAAGCAGUAAAAGGAAUAGGAGGAGGUGUGUGGAAUUCAUAUUGCAGCAGCCCUAUUUAGUUGACCUUGGUAUGAAAUGACAGAAACAAAUUGUUUCUGAUUCUCGCCUCUCCUCUCAUCUGCUCUCCCUGUAAACCCCCCACCGCCAGAUUCCCCUCCUCCUUUUUUUACCUUUCCAUUUCUGCAACACUUAUCUGACAUAACUUAAUUGUUAGUCAUUUUAACAGAAGGCUUUCAUUUUUUCCAGUUUCUCUCCUUCCCCUCCACCUUUUUUCCCCUUUAGAAUCUGUUUCUCUUUCAUUUUCCCUCCCCUUACCUUCACUGUCAGCCCUCUUAUUCUGCCUUCAUCUCCUCUGCUCCCCAACCCUUUCCUUCUUGUCAUGUGCUUAUAAACCCAGACAGUUCGGGCCUUGAGGCACUCCACAUAUUGACCUCAUGGUGGUACUUUUUUAUUGGAUUAAGUAGUUGGUCCAAUAUUGCCAGGUUACAAUCUGUAUUUUGCCCACAAUUGUACAUGCAUGGCUGUUCAAGUUUUGCAGCUAAAGUAGGAUAUAGCGAGUGUGGAAAAUGCAAAGGUAACUGCUAUUAAUCCAAUAUAAAUGUACAGCAAGAUUGUGAGUUUUUUUCUAAUAAAUUUUUCAAACUUUUUUUUUUGGAAAUCAAAUGGUUUUGCUUUUAGUAGGACUAGUGCAAAUGUAAAGCUGAAGCAAUCUGUUUACCUUACGGUGUCUUUUGAUGGCAGUUCAAACUGAAUUAGUCAAUGAAAAUGUCUGCAUUUUCCACUCCUCUCUAUGUUUUUACUUCAUUUUUAUUUGUAGGCUCAAUGGUGGUUAUGGGACCCUCAGCCACCCACACCUUCUGAUUGUCCUGCAGUUUCGCCUACUAAUGGGGUGUCCAGGGCUUCAGCCAUCUUGGUAAGUCUCUGAUUCUCAGUAUUUUCUGGUUGAAGUUACACUAAAUCAGCUGAUGCUUGUGUUUUUCCCUUCCUCCACCACCUGCUCCUACCUUACAACUACCACCACCAUCACUGCCAUCUUAGUCCUCGCCUGUGGUGCAGAUGACAUGGAAGAGAAACUGGAGAGGAUGCUUCUCUAGGGGCCAGAGGUUAAUGUCUCUUUUAAGGUGCAUCCCCUUGGAUAGGGAUAUGUCCUCCUUGUCCUUGUCUUGCCCCUCUUCCACUGAUCUGUCAAUAUAUACUAUGUGAUGUAAAAUGUGAGGAAGGGUCAGCUGCCUCUGAGCUGUGGAAUAGCUGUAAUGACCCUGUUCCCAAAAAACCUGCACAGCAUGAAGAACCAGUGCUCAGUGGCUCUACUCUGCACUGAUUACUAGAUCCUUUCCAAAGCCCCGGCAAGCAGAUUGAAGAAGGUGAUGAAGCAGCUCAUACAUCCCAGACCUACUGUGUACCUGGCAGGUUAGGUAUAGACAACAUAUAUAUUAAUUCAUGAAGUUUUGGACCUCUCUAGCUCAUUAGAUGUAGAUUUUGGUCUUAUUUUCAUAGACCAAGAACAGGCGUUUCAUUGAGAUAAACAUUCAUAACUGCAGAAAACAUUAGCAGCGUUUUGGUUCAGCUCAGGUCUUAUGGCUUAGAUCCAAGCAUUCUAUAGAAACAUUAAUGGGAAAAACCCACAAGAUCCGAAAUGGCUCCGCUUCGGCACGGCACGGCAGGCGGAUCAAAUACACAAGCAUUAUAAUCAAUGUGUGUCAUUCCACAGAAUCUGUUCGCCAUCCGGCUCCGCUGCGGAUAUGCAAGAUAUCAGAUAAGCAAGGUUUCUACUUUUGCCAGACAUCGGAGCACUGCGCAUCAAUUCAGAGCAGCGCAGCAUGAGCAGCAGCAGAAGUUGUAUGCAGCUACAGAGUAAAAUUUCUGGUUAAUUUUCAAAAUAAAAUAAAGUCAAUACAAUUGAAAUGUUCUUAACUUGAUAAUAGGACAGGCCAGGGUUGUGGGAUGCAGGUCUUUUCAAGCACCUUUCAUGAGAUCUUGUCCAGUCUGGUGAGAAAUAUCAGUAAUCUUGCAGGCGCUUCUCCUCCGAUGAUGGCGGUGGAUUGGAUCCGGUGGGCACUGUAAGCUUGCGUAUCUGAUUUGCCUGCUGGUCCGGAGCAGAAUGGAGCCGUUCCGGAUCCAGUGGGAUUCCCAGGUAAGAGUGUACUUGAAGUUAAUAGUGGUUAAGGUGCUCCUUUUAAAGUAGGAAGGGGUGUCAAGGCAGGACUGUCUGUCAGGAAUGCUCCACUCUCUGGCUAUAGCACCCCUCCUUCACAGAUUUAGACAAGGGGCUCUAUUUUUGUGCUGUGCCGGAGACGUGCCGCAGGCGCGGCUAAAGUCAGGUCUGCCGUGCCGACAAGGCAUUCCCAAGCACAAUUUGGUAUUUUUUUGAGCGUUGCAGCCCGGCGUACGUAUCCCCACUCCUUAACUCAGCUCAUUCCAGCGGCGUAAGUUGUAGUGAGGAAGGAGAGAGGGCGUUGAGUGGGUUUAACACAGCCGAGACCUGUAUUGACCAAUAACAUCAGCUCCUCUCUCCUUACCUUUAAAUCCGCCACUGGCGAGGUGUAUUAUAAUUUUUGUGAAGUAGUCAAAGGGAAAAAGGGAAGUCUGAAGACAGUAAUGCCACCUGAUGGCGACAGAAGGCAGCCCCUCAACAGGUGUCACUGUCAACGCUGCAGAGGGUGUCCUUCACACUCUCUCAUAUCAGCACAGAUGGAUUUGGUGUGUUUAAGUUUGGACCCACUUGUAAGACAAACACCCUUUUCCACAAAUAAAGACACUCACAUAAAGUUGCAUAUAUUCAAACCUCACGUGACAAAGGUGGGUUGUGCGCACAGAUCACAUUAUAAACUCCAAAAAUGGCAGUAAAAUCGGAACCAUCUGUGCAUCGCGCUCCGUGGCCUGGCUCUUUCUUUCAUAGAUGUUGGCAUAUAAAACAAAUUUGGCUCACAAAACUGAAUAUUAUAAUAUUCUUAUGUAGGCUUAACGUAAAUAACUCAUCUGAUCACUGAAACAAAUCAUCUGUCAGGACGGGGAGAGGACACGGAGACAUGUCCAGGUCGAGCUGCGCGAGAAAUAAGAGGAAGAGGAAGAAUAAAAAGGGAGGGAGACAAUUUACAUAUCUUGUUAACUUCAUUAUGUGUGUCUACUUACUAGAUAUUAAAUUUAAUUUAAUGCGGUUUCAGCUGUGUUGAUUCGGUCAGGUUGAGUGUCCAAACGCGUGCCAAACAGGCUCAUCAGAAUCAGAUAUAGAUCAGAAUAUAUCUAUAUAGAUCUAAACAUAUGUGCUGACUCAGAUUAUUAGUUGUUGAUGAUUAUUUAUUGCACUGAAAUGUGCCUGACACUGCGAAAACCUUCCGGUGUGGCAUCAGUGAGGUAUGCCGAUACGCCGCCGGUCUACCAAAAUACCUCUAGACCAGCUGCGCUCCGCCUGCGCUGAAAGCUGACCAGGUGUGAAUCGAUGAGCUUUAUACGCCACUGGCGAGCACGAAAAUGUCACUGCGCCAGCUGAUCCUGUCGACACCUCCCCCUGCCUCACCACCACGCCCAGCUCGGCGAAUCUUGGUGCUCCUCAGUCCACGAAAAUACCAAACUGGCUGUACGCUGGGCUCCGCCAGACAAAAAUACCCCGCUCUGAUUGGAUCGCUGCUGUGAAGCCUGCUGUGCUCUGAUUGGCUCAGCAGUGGAGGUUCAGAUUUCGGUUUAUCCAUUUUGCUAAUGUGUGCUAAAGUAAGGUGCCCAGAUGUCUGUAAUGAUAUCCGGUGCGGCGGCAGUGGGUGCAGGGGCUGCAGGGGCUGUGUGAUCACAGACAAAAUCUUGGUACUAUUUAGUAGCAGCGCAUGCCCCUUGUAAUAACUCCCGUAAGAACUGUUGUUCAGGACUGCUUACUUGUGCUUCCUACCUAUUCGGCUACUGUAAUAACCGUUGUUCCAGCCCACACACAACAUUUUUGCUCUCAUUCAUGAAACGCUUAAAUCGGGGACAUUUUCGGGGACAGCUUUUGCCGGGGACAGGUCAUCCAAUACGGGGACUGUCCCCGGAAAUCGGGGACGUCUGGUCACCUUAUGCUAAAGGCUAAAAAUGGCAGGUAUUAAACCAUAUAUUUUAGGACCCGGAGUCCGAAGAGGAGGUGGAAGUUGAAGAAGAAGCCAGAGAUCUCCAGCGGUGUUUUCUCAUUCAUUCUGCCCAGCUUUAAGUUCCUGGCAGUGAACCCAAGGAAACACCGGUCGUUUGGAAGAGACCCAUGGCAGAUACAGUGGUAGCUGGGCCUCGCUCUGGCUGGAGAGUGAUGUUGACUGUAAAUGAGUACGAGAACGAGAGAGUGGGCACGGC